AAGACGGAGGUAAAUGUGAUCGGCCAGACCCAUCACAAGAAUCUUGUUCGGUUGCUGGGAUUCUGCGAAGAAGGAGAUCAGCGGUUGUUGGUGUAUGAGUUCAUGAGCAAUGGAAGUCUAUCGAGUUUUAUUUUUCAAGAUGCAAAACCUGGUUGGAAGAAAAGAAUCGAAAUUGCCUUUGGAGUUGCAAGAGGACUUUUGUACUUGCAUGAAGAGUGCAGCAAUCAGAUUAUCCAUUGUGAUAUCAAGCCCCAGAAUAUACUUCUGGAUGAAUAUUACAAUGCAAGGAUAUCUGACUUUGGUUUGGCAAAGCUCUUGUUGCUGGAUCAGAGCCACACCCAUACAGCCAUCAGAGGGACAAAAGGGUAUGUUGCACCUGAAUGGUUCAGGAACCUGCCCGUCACUGUGAAGGUGGAUGUGUAUAGCUAUGGUGUACUUCUGCUAGAGAUCAUUUGUUGCAGAAGAAAUGUGGAUAGCAAAGCAACCAUAGAAGAACAGGCAAUUUUAACAGACUGGGCAUAUGACUGUUAUCGUGAAGGGACAUUGGAUGCCCUCGUUGGAUCUGAUACCGGAGCCUUAGAUGACAUAGAAAAGCUAGAGAGGUUUAUGAUGAUUGCUUUCUGGUGUAUUCAGGAAGAUCCAUCUCUCCGACCCACCAUGAGGAAAGUUACACAGAUGCUUGAAGGAGUAGUUGAAGUGCCUGUUCCACCAUGUCCAUGCCUUCUUUACGCAGCAAGUUAAAUCAGCUUUGUAGCGUUGCCAGCCCUAUUAUCUUUCUCUUGUAACCUUUUCUUGAUUAUUGGCUUCUUCACCAGUGUCUUGUCCACCAUAAGUUCUUCACUUUAAGAUUAUUAGUGCUUGUCGUUUCUGUUUUGCCUGCUACUACAAAAGGCAGCUCUGUACAUAAGUAACGCUGUAUUCGAUGCAUUAGUUUCCAAGCUGUUCUAGUUUUGCUUUACACUGCUCCUUGCAAGAUCAUAUAAAUCUGGUGUCUCAUUCUCUUGCAUUCUACAAGAUCAUAUUCUUCAUACAUGCCAUAAGUACCUUCCUUAAUUAUUAACCAGACUUGCAAAAAAAGAACAAAGUCAACGUUAUGGUGUGCUUGAUCAGGCUGGUUAAUAAUUAAGGAAGGUACUUAUGGCAUGAAGAAGCAAUUACUGGGCUCUAAUUCUUGCUAUUAAGUUCAUUGUAGGAGGUUAAUUCACUUUAAAGAAACUUAAUAAUGAAUAUGUCCAACAAUUAGUUACUGCAGACCAUGUGAAGCAAGCACUGACUUCUUAAGGUUGCUGGAUGCUGUUGCUGGAUGCUGUUUUCAGCAUUGUUCAGCAUAGAAAGACAGGAAAGUAGCAUGCCUAAUUUAUUAAAAAUUUAAAAUAUUAAAUUAGACAUCAAAAAUAAUUUUAUAUUACUUUUUAGCAUAAAAUAAAUGAUGUCUUUAGAUUCUGCAGAAUUUAUUUUUACAAGGAAUUUAUUUGUUCUUGCAGUUGUAAGGGGAGGUCGCUUUCUUGACGUAUGAACUCAUGGUAGGCUGGUUUGGUUAUCCUCCAUUAAUUUGAACUUGAACUUGGCAGAAUAUAAGGUGCUCUCCGUUGAAUUAAAUACCUGGACUCCGUACACUUAAAAAGUAAAAUGAUUGAAUAUUUCUGCGUAUCAACACGCGCGCUAUACUUCUGUUGCAUGAAAAGUAAGCUUAACAAAUUCCAAGUCCCAUUGCAGGUCGAUUUUGCCUCCGUGUGUGGCAAUGUUUUAUUCAAUAAUCUAAUAAAAAAAUAACACAUCAACUACUUAUAAAGAGAUAAAAAUAAACCUAACAAAAAAAAAAGCUAAGUAGAAAAACUAAUUAACAUAUGAAAUUAACUAGAAAAAAAAUUGAAAUAACAUCUUCUAAUUAAGUUUAAAAUUUUGAAACAUACAAGCCUUUUUCUAAGGAUUGAUCAUGUCUAUCAAAUCUAUAAACAUAAUAUAGCAAUAUAUAUUCCAUGCGAUGAACAUUCAGAAGAUGACAUUUUUGUUUUGAAGUUUUGUAUUCGAUUUGAAGUAGAGAUACAUACUAAUAUAGUGGAAAAAUCCACUGACUCUCUUGUGAUGAUAUAUUUGCCUUUUUUCUCUCCAUUUUUUUUAAAGAAUAAAAAAUCAUAAACAUUAUCGUUUUCUUCGAGAAGAGUGGUGCACCUUGCCACUGCUCGGAAUUGGCCGUGCCAGGUCAUGUUAGUACUUUGGUGUACAAAAAGAAGAUUGAGUACUUGAUUUCCAUUGAUUUUUAAAAGCUUUUACUAAAUCAAUUCCUCAUUGGUUAGUGGUUAUAUGUUAAUAUUUAAUAAGUUUUGUAAUUAAUCAUGAAAGACCUAUCACUGAUUUGUUAGUGUUAAUAUACUUAUAGCUGAUAAUAUUUAUUUUAUUUAAGUAAAAUAUAUUUAUUAGUAAUAAAAGUUUUUUUAUAUUUAAUAUUUAUUGAUAUUUGAUUAAUGAAUCUAAUAUUUAAUUAAUAAAUUAAAAGUAAAGAUAAAAUUCAUAAACUAAAAAUAAUUUAUAAAAAAAUUAUUAAAUUAUUAUAAUUAUAAAACUUCUAUUACAUUAAAUUAUUAUUACUAAAUAUGUUUUUUAUAACUAAUGUUUCUAGUCAAAGAGAGUGAUUCAGGAUGGGUUGAAAGCGAACAGAUGUCAUGCAUCACAUGCAAGUCUUUGUUUGGUUGUGAAGACUUGAUAGAGGGCCCAUUUGCAAUUUUUAAGUCUUUGGAUCCAUUCAUUUAUUGCCCUGGUCCCAAGUCUCUGUUGAAUAAAUGACUUCCACCGUUUCAAACACCAAUAAUUAUGUGGUUCUUUUUCAAUAUUCUACCUUUUUUCAAUCGAAAUUUACCAUUUCAAUAAUUUUUUCAAUAACUACAAUAACAUGGACUUGGUCCACCAUAUGUACCGUUGCCUCCUUGUAAGGGCAAAGACUUAUGGAAUGCAGCUGUUGGGAUUUGAAAAGUCUGUGUCCACACCUUUAAUGAAAUGUCCUUGAGUUUUGAAGUGUCCGAGCAGCAAAAAUCACAUAGCUUGCAAUGACAUCCUGCUGCAAUGCAACACCAUUGAUAUAGGAACUGGUUUGUUGGUGACAGUAGUGAUAAUAUGAGUUUUGUGCUAUCAAUUUGACAAUCAAAUUCAGGAAUAGUGGCCAUUUGUGUUGACAGCAGCACUUUGUCCUCGAUAUCCUUGCUUUCAUAACUUUGUGCUCAUCAACAUUUUUGUUUUGUUCAUCUAUAUCAAGUGUAACACAGGGUUCUUUAGGCUUUGUAAUCGCCUGGUUAUAGAUUGAUUUUUCUUCUCUUUGCUCUCCUCAGUGUCGCCAAUCUGAAAUUCCUCACUUUCUUUUUGAAUCUUCCCAUGGUAAACAACACCAGAUUUUUCUUAUCAACAAAAGCUUGCUACUCUGUCUCUUUUUUGUUAAUCAAUGUGAUUUAUUUAUUUUUCUCAAAUCCAUUUCCAUAUCAGUUAAAAAGAAAGAAAGCAGGCAGCACACACUGUCCUGCAUCAUAAAGUUCAAGGUUUGGUCUCAUUACAAACGUACACAAGUAUUUGUGGGUGUUGUAUUUCCAUUGAAGGGUAUUGUUCCAUCCAAGGCAUUUGUGUGGAGAGCUGCGUUACAAAGGAGACCAAUGAGAGGGAUUUAGGACGCAUUCUUGGUGUGCUGUUGCAUGUCAUAGCGGAUCCCAAUCUUCCAAAACUAACAAUUAAUGAAUUUGAGAAGCUGGCUUAUAAAUCUUCCAAAACAGUAACAUUUGAGCACCAGUAUCAGGUAACGGAAGAGUCUCCUGCUGAUCAUUCUGAGAUACAACCCAAUGAUGUUAUAAUUGUUGGGGAUUCCGGCUACCCUAUGUGUGGACUAGUGGUGUUCUGAUAGUUGGUCAUUGGAGGCUAAGCACACCGAAACACAAUAUUUAACGUUGUUCAACAAAUUACCUACAUCCACGGGAGAAGUCAAUAUUAUUAGAGACAAAUAGAGAAAUGAUUACAACACACAUGGAGGAGGAGGAUCACUUCACUCAAACUCAACACCCAUUGCUCUCACACACUGCUGCACAAGGCAGUAGGGCUGCUGCCCUUGGCAGCUACUCCUUCUUUCUCUCCUCACGUAUUUCUCUCUUGUUCUUUUCUCUUUCUCUCUAUUUGCUCUCCAAAAUUAUGCCUCUUUUAUAGGCAUCAAUGGUAAGGCAAGAGGCCAUCAAUUAUGGGACAAAUGGUGGCAGCACAUGAGUUGCACCAUUUUUUCAAUGGUUGGUGCAACUACCAUUGUAGCCCUUUGACAAUGGCAUCCCUCCUUCUUAAGGUAGGAUGCAAAUGUUGUUGUCCAUUAAUGGAAAUAUCCCAACAAUCACCCCCUUUGACAUUUAUAUGGGCAAUUAUCCUCUUGCUUCUUCAGCACAAGCUUGCAUUAUGUAGUUCUUCCAAGCUUACCAUUCCGAGAGCGUUUGUGGCCAAGUUUACAGGUACUCGCUAAAUCUUUCAAUCAUCAGAGUUACCAAAGCACACCCUUGCUCACACCAAAGGAUCACUUCAACCAGAUGGUCUGCCACUUCACAUCUAAAGAGUGUUAUCGCUUGUCUCUAGGAUAACAUUCCCUUUCGAGUGUAUCAACUAUGCUCGGUCCGGAAUGAUUUAUCAAGCCUCACAUCAAUGUUUACAACACCCCCUCAAGUGGAAAUUUUUAUUUUCAAGUGUGACAGUCAUUAUCUGAGUAUCUCAAUAUGAUCACAAGCUCACCACUCUUCCAAGAGUCUACUCAUCCAGGAGUUGUGUUUGCCCUUUGUUCCACCCUAGGAACCAUGCCUUACUUCUCCAUGAGUUUCUCGCUCUUAGUCCUAAGAGUCCAGGUAGCUUUCUACCUUUAACCAUGGGGGCAGCCCAUUUAAAGGUUAAUCCAUAUAUGUCUUGAUACUCUAAAUAUUAAAAUGCCUUUACCGAGCUCACCACCUCGACAAGAAUCAACUUGUUCCAGGAACUGGGGCUCCUAUCAUGGCUCUCACACCUUUUUUAAGGUGUCUUCGCUCGUUAUCAUGGGGCGGUCUGAACUUGGGCUCCUUUCAUGGCCCUUACACACCUUCUAUCUAAGGUGUCUUUACCUUUCAUAGGCGGUCACAUCCUCCUUCAGUUGAGAUGCUUCAAAGUGGCUCCAAAAGUGUCUACCACUAUGUGGACUAUGGGAGAGAUUACUACCACUGAUUAUAUAGAAAGAGAAAGUUGUGGUACACUCCUCACAAUCCUCCAUCUCGAUUUCUAUGUUUGGAGCUUCUGUGCCUUUCUGUUUAACAGCUCUACCUACACCAACUCUCUUUGGUGUCUUCAUCUUUCAUCAUAGGUGGUCGCCUUUUAUCACAGGCGUUUGCACCCCUUCAUUUAGGUGCUUCUACAACAGCUCAUCUUUUUCAUCCUUGCAUCCAUAGGAAAGGUCUUCGCCAGUUGUCUUCAUCAAGAGCACAAGAGACUUCCUGAUGUACAACUUCUACACAGUCUCUGCUCUGAGCUUCAUCUAGGAACUCUUCUUGUCCUUGCACAUGUUGUCUCAUUACAGUACCUCAUUGGAUCCUACGGGUACUCCUGCACAAUCUCCAUGGGCCUUCGUGCAAUUUCUGUUCUCCAGAUUUCUCUCUAUUCCUUGUUUAUGUUUGACAAUAACUCAUUCCGUCACAACACCUGUCCAAGUCAAAAUAGGGUGCCAAUCUUUAUCCCCUUGCUGUAUUUCUCUUCUAUUAUCAAGGUCUUCAUCAAUUCUCCCAUCGAGAAAUCACAGUCAGCGAAUCUAACUUCUUUGGAGAAAUCACCACUCCAUCAGAUCCUUGAACAUACAGAACCCAAACUGUUCCUUUGUGAUGUCGUCUUGCUAGUCUUUAACCAUUUCAUUACAAAUUGCUAUUUAUAUGAAAAUAGUAUCGUAUGGAUAAUCCUUCCACUAAGCAAGUUCCUAGGAAAGAUUGGAGGGGUCACACUAGUCCCGCUUAAAACCCAAUCUCAUAGCCAGAACUUCUUAAGCCAUAUCUAUCCAUCGUACUGUCUUUCCAUAAAUACAACCAUUUGCUAGCUUUGUUAUGGCUUUCCUUUACAAGUGAUCUAGAAUAUACUGGUUUAAUACAUGAUUUCUCAACAUCUGGCGAGACUACUAUUGUAACCUAUUUUUGGGUCCCCGCACAAAAAAGGAAAAAAUAUAUAAAUAUAUAGUCGGAAGAAAUUGGAAAAAUAAUAAUAGCAGUAGAAGGUUGGAGCGUGCAGAAAAUGGUCAAAACAAUUGAUUAAGAAGGUUAAAAAAUACAAAGAUUGAAAUUUUGACAGUAUAUACUUGAAUGAUGAGAGCCCUAUUGGAAAAAAAAAAUCAAUUUGAGGAAAAAAGUCCAAAAUUGGAUGUUUAUGGGCUCAAUUGGAUUUUAUUGAAGGUUUAAUUGAAUUUAUAGCGGGUUUGAUUGCAAGAAAAAUAGCUUUUAAAAUCAAUUUAGGCUUUAAUUGGAAGAAAUUAAAGUUUCAGGGUCAAAUAACAAUUUGUGAGAGUUGAUAUGGUCAAAUCAGUUGCUUAAUUACAUAAAUAUUGAAGUUUGAUGGCCAAUUAUGGAUUUAAUUGAAUAAAUCCAAAACCAAGGACCAAACUGGAAAAGGCGCGAAAAUAUAGGGUUCGAAUUGAAGUUUGUCAAGGGUGAAAUUAAACAAAAUUGAAAGUUUAAUGCCAAUCAGGGGUGUAAUUAGAGAUAAAUCACAAAUUAAGGGACUAAAUUGUAAUUGGCAGAAACAUUGCUAUUCAUCUUCUUCUUUAGAGAGGUUGCCCGAUGGGUCUCCUUCCCAAGGCGUUUGACGCCUCGUUACUUCCCCAAAUUAAAUGAAACCUGCACGAACACGAUACCUUGACACCUGACUACACCCUAGUAUAAAUAGUUUGGGCUGAUCGAGGCUGUAGAGGCGAUGGCACCGCCUCAAAGUGGCCAACCCGACCAACCAUUUUCCUUCACAAAACUGGCAGUUCAUCAUUGCUUCUUUGAAGUAGUGGUUGGAGUGUUUUUGGGUCGAACCAAGGGUCGAAAUUUGGCACUAAAAGAGACGAAGUGUUCCUCUUCCACCACCUAUAAAUAUAUGUGAUUUUCAUGCUUCAACGAGGGAGAAAUUUGGGUCCACAGAUAGCCAAAAAACCAGCCUCCCUGACCCGGUUUCUGUUGACAGCAUAACCUCCCUCUCUCUCUCUCUCUACCACGGCGUUCAGCCCCUAACAUCGUCACCACCAGCUUGAACACCUCCAUCUCCAUCACAAGCAACUGCCUGAAGACCCCAUAUAGUGAGCGCGCCGCCGAGCCCCUUUCCUCUACAACUUUUCUUCUGCCUUCACCAGCAACCGAUACCAGCCACCAUUACCUCCACUGAAGCCUACUGAGCCAUCGGCAGAACCUCCUCGUCGCAGCCAAGCUUCCAUCGUAGGUCAACUUCCUUCCCUUUUCCUUUCUUCUUCUUCUUCUUCUUCUUCCUCGGUGGUCUACACUGUUCACGCUGCACGUGAACAAUGGAGAGUAAUCCAUUGUUCAUUUAAAAAAAAAAUUAUUCCAAAAAAUCUUUUCUAAAUUUUUUUUGAUUUUCUCAUGUAUUUUUCUAUCUAUUUUGUGUAAUAUUGGUUUGUAUUUUUAUACUGUAAAUAUACAAAUUCGGUAUUAAAAUACCUGGUUUUCGUCAAAACAUUGCAAAAAAAUUAUAAAACAAAAAACAAAUAUAUAUUUUUUCAUGCAUACAGCUAAAUCUCUCAAAGAUUAAAAAAAAAUCAUCACAUCGUAUUUUCCUAUAUAAAAAAAAAAUCAUGCUAUUUACUCAUAAAACAAAAACAUUCAAAAAAGGUUUUAGCAUGCACUUUGGUUUUAAUAACAAGUUUGUUAGAGCCAUGAGAACUUGACAAAUAUUUCAAAAGUUCUAAAUAUUUUUGUCUUCUUUAGUAUCUAGGAUUACAAAUUUAUACAUAAAACGUAUUCUUAAUAUUAAAAAUAUAGUUUUUUUAUAGACGUUAGAGCGGUUAGGAUUUUACCCGAUAAGAUAAGGACCUCCUUAUUGAGGACGACUUUUUUUGAACCCUAAACAGAUUAAUAAUUAAAUAACACCUUAGCUUUUUAUCAGACAAUCAAACAAUGCAGCUUACCUUAGGUAAGGCGUAUUUGGGGUGCUAAUACCUUCCAUUUACACAACCAGUCUCCGCACCCGAUCUCUAAGACUAGUUAGGGUUUCUAGUGACCAAAAUACUAGGUGGCGACUCCCAUUCUAUUUUUCACUGAUAAAAGACAAGAAUUUCUUGUCUCCCCAUAUUUGACAGACAGGUAGAUACAUUUUAAAUUGAAGUGGAACAUUUUUGCUGCGACGCCGCACACGUACGAUAACUACCAGUGCUUAGAUUCGUCAAGAUUGGUCUUUGUCAAUUUUCACUCUACACCUCUAAUUAUCCACAUGAUCAGGUGUCUAGAGUGUCUCAAUUUUGCAUUUCUUCAAGGCAAUUAAAAUUUCUCCCCACUUAGCUGUUUAGCACAUGUAAUUGGGCAAACAUGUGCACUUUCUCCUUCUUCAUCUCCAUCGACCACCAUGAUGACCUUCAGAUGCCUCCUAAUCGGGCAAUCUCCUUUUUUAAUUCACCACCACCACUUUCGAUCUCAAUCUCAAUGAUCGGAUCGUACCAUUGCAUCCAGAACGAUCAAAUUGCAUUUCAGAAUGCCAAGAUUUGAUCAAAACAAUUAUGGCCUGAUGAGCGACCCAGAUUUAAUCUCAGAUUCGAUUGCACUUAGGAUCAGCUAUAUAGGAUCCUAUCCCUCAGCUCACGGCUAAUGACGUGGCAGAUGGUCCCACUGUGCUGACAUGUCAGAUGAUUGGGCGAUGACAUGGCAUGCUUACUGUACAUGCUGAUGUCACAAUUGUGUCAUGCUGUUGUCAUCCUUAUCCGGGGCAGUCACGUGGGUCGGGUCAUCUGGUAUUCAGGUCAGGUUAGCCCAUCCGAGCGAAGAGCGCCACGCCUCUCUUGCAGUGUUUUUAUCAUUCAAUGUUUGUCCCAGAAAAUUAAGGGGAAACAAGAGUGAGUUAAUCUUCUUUUAAUUCUUGGCGUUAGUUAUUUGGAAUGAUUUGGGACAAGGUUGGGAAAUAUAUGAAGUUAGAGGUGAUGAGGGCAGGUGUUUGUGGGCCUUUGAAGCUCGCUAUAUUCGCCAAUGACCUUCUUCCAGACAGUUAUCACAGGUAAAAUCCCUUUCUACAUACUCUGGGUGGUUUGUGUAUUGAUGCAUGGUGGUGGCAUGGAAAACUUAAGCAAUGAGCUCUCUAUGUACGAAGUUUGCUGCUUUAUGUUCGUUUCUUGCCAUGAUUGGGUCUUCUUACAUGCCAACCUGUUUUGUGAUUUAUUUUAAUCUGUAGCUUUUGGUGCUUUCAGUUGGCCAGUUUAAUCGAGGAGAGGGUUUCAGGAUGACAAAUAUUUGUUCUGGUUGGUCACUUCCUUGAGAUCAUGGAAGCAAGCUUUCCUGCUUUGCUUAUCAAAUGCCGCCAUGCAUAUAUAGUUUUGCAUCUUUUCUUUGCUCUUUUCCUAGCUAGUAUUGCAUCCUGUGUGAUUUAGCUUUACAAAUUGGGAAGCAGCUUUAUAUCUAUUCGAUUCUCUUCAUCUGCGUGAAUAGUCUAACAACUAACAAGAUACUUGAAGUAAGAAUCUUUGGCUUUGACUCGAUCUUCGUAUAUUCUUGGGAUGGAGUUUGCUUACAGUUCAUGUAACAAGUGGCCAAAUUAGCCCCCCUUUCGAAAUUGUAAUAAUUACAUCAACCCAGAUCAACCUGUUGACCAUAUGAUUCGAGUCAUGAGUUAGGGAUAAAGUCAUAAAAAAAUGAAGUUCAAUUUUAAACCAACUGAAUGUUAAAAGAUAAAUUUGAAAAAAAAAUCAAAUAGCAAAAAAAAACAAAAUAACCAUAGUCAACUUGGUUUAACUUACGACUCGGGUUAUGAGACUAUGAUAAAUUUAAAAAAAGCAAACCAAACAAAAUUAUAAAGCUCCAUUUCCAACAUAUCUAAUAUUGAAAGUUGAAAUUGAGAAAACAAAAAUCAAUAAAACUGGUAUAUAACCAAACAUAUAGAAAAAAAAAAAAAUAUGAAGUACAAUUCUCAAAACAAUCAAAGAUUAAAUGAUAAAAUUAAAAAUAUAUAAACGACUGAAUUGUUAAAAUGAUGAAAUUGAAAAAAAAAUAAACAAAAGGAAGGAAAAAAAUAUUAUUAUAUUAAAUAGUGUUUUGUGGGUGUGACCAUACUCUUUAGUGUUUUGGUAAUUUAUAAUAAUUAAUAAUUUUAUAAUUAAUGAAGUUUUAUACCAAAAUUAAUAUUUCUUUUGUUAAUAGAGAGAGAGAGAGAAAGAGAGUAUUUUGGUUAGAAGAACAAAAACAGAGAUAUAAAAAUAAAUUUGUUCUUAAGUUAUUCACUGUAUGAUGAUUAGUGCUUGUCAUUUCUGUUUUGUCUGCUACUACAAAAGGCUGACAAAAAACAAAAGUCUUGGUAAAGAGAUGCGUUGUUUGUUUUGGGGCUUUCUUCUCCAGGAAAUGUUUAGUGAUUGACCUGUAAAAACCUGUGCUCUCUUCCAUGCGAAGUUGGAUAAAGCUUUUUACAUUAGCUAUAGAUAUUUGAUGCAGAGGGGGAAAUGUAGGACUAGAUAUUCUCAUGAAUCUAUUGGAUGGGCGGUUCUAUCAGGAUAGGCACAGCUGAUAGCUACAUAAUGCACUAUAAACUGUAAAACCCAUCAUCAUCACUUGUAUCAAAUUUGGCACUAAAAUGUUAAGUUUUCACUGUCACAGGCAUUAGAAAUUUUAGUCUUCUCAUUUUCUAUCAUAUCCAACGUAAAAUAAUUUUCCAAUUCAGAAAUGAUGAUGCACAAGUUGUAACCAAUUUUCAUUUCUCUCCGUUGUCACUUCAUCAGAGUCUUGUUUUUACUGUUGUUUGCAUGAUGAUAUUUUCACAAAAUGAACCUCAACCUGGAUUAAAUUCCGGGAAAGAUUUUCCAAGACGGUACAUAGUUGGAAUAUCUGGUAACCACUUUGAUAAAAAUCUUCUAUAUCAGCAUUUGUCUUGAUUCAAAAUGGACAGAGAAAUCCGCGACUCAGACCCAACUCUUGAGAGACUAUAAGGAUUAUAACCAAGUAGAUUGACAGGUAACUUCUACCAUUUAUGUAGGGUUGAAAGUCUUGCUACGGUAUACCAUGAGCAUACUCUAGUCUGUAAUUCAUGAAAAUUCAGAGAAAAUACCAUUGCCAAGAAAAGGCCCAAAAAGACUUGUGUUUGGCUUCAGGCUCCACCCUUCUCUUUCCCAUAGGUUAUUUAAUGACCACCAGUAAGAUUACUUUCCAUAGUCAACAAAGUAAGACUAUUGGGAGAAGAUCUUCCUGAUAAAAGAGUUGUUGAAAAAAUUCUGGUAACUUUACCUGAAAGGUUUAAAUCAAAAAAAAUUUCCUUAGAAGAAUCUAAAGAUCUAUCAAAAAUAUCUUUGGUAGAAUUGCUCGAUGCUUUGCAGGCACAAGAACAAAGAAGAAUAAUACGACAAGAGGAGUUUAUGGAAGGAGCUUUUCAAGCCAAAAUGCAUGUUCAGAAAGGAGACAAAGGCAAAAAGAAGAUCAACAAAUGUAGUAAAAGAUCUGGAAACUUUCCUCCAUGUCAACACUGUAAGAAAACAAAUCACUUACAGAAAUAUUGUUGGUAGAGACCUAAUAUUAAAUGCAGAAAGUGUAAUCAACUGGGACAUAUGGAUAAGAUUUGCAAAAGCAAAACUAACGUGCAAGAAGAUGAAGCUCAAGUUGCAAAUCAACAACAUGAGGAGCAGUUGUUUGUGGGUACUUGUUUUGCUAGCAAACAUGCAAGUGAUUGUUGGCUGAUAGAUAGUGGUUGCACAAACCACAUGACAAAUGAUGAAAAUCUAUUCAAGCAACUUGACAAAUCAAGUGUUUCUAAAGUUAGAAUUGGAAAUGGUGAAUAUAUUCCUAUCAAAGGAAAAGGAACAGUUGCUAUUGAAGGAAAUUUAGGUAUAAAACUCAUUUCAGAUGUUCCUUUUGUUCCUUAAAUUGAUUAGAAUCUAUUGAGUGUUGGUCAGCUUCUUGAAAAAGGAUACUCAGUUGAGUUCAAAGACAAACAUUGUUCAAUUUAUGAUCCUGCUGGAUUAGAAAUAUUCACUAUAAAGAUGAAAGGAAAGGGUUUUUACUUGACUGGAUGGAAGAGGAGUCAGCUGCUUUUCUAAGCACAUCAAAUCAGUCAGAAUUGUGGCACAAAAGGCUGGGGCAUUUUAAUCCAGCAACAUUGAUGCAAAUGUAGAGAAAGAAGAUGGUGCAGGGAAUGCCAAAACUGGAUGAAGAAAUCAUAGUCUGUUCUUCUUGUCAAUAUGGCAAACAUAAUAGACUUCCAUUUCCUUUGAACAAGGCUUGGACAACAAUGAAAAAGCUUCAGCUUAUUCAUACUGAUGUUGUUGGACCUCUGAAAACAAUAUCACUUGGAAGCAAGUAUUAUAUUGCUUUCAUUGACGAUUAUACAAGAAUGUGCUGUGUCUAUUUCCUAAAGUUUAAGACUGAGGUAGCAAGUGUUUUUAUGAAGUUUAAAAACUGGAUUGAAAAUCAAAGUGGUCACAGAGUUCAGGCUGUAAGAUCUGAUAAUGGCACUGAAUACACAUCAAACAAGUUUGCCAAGUUUUGUCAUGAUGCAGGGAUUGAACAUCAAUAUACUACACCUUACACUCCUCAGCAAAAUGGUGUAAGUGAACGAAAAAACAGCACAAUCAUGGAGAUGGCAAGGUGUCUGUUAUUUGAGAAAGAUUUACCCAAAAGGUUUUGGACAGAGGCUGUGAGCACUACUGUGUUCUUGUUGAAUAGGCUGCCAACAAGAGCAUUACAAAACAAGACUCCAUAUGAAGCUUGGCACGGUUAUAAACCUUCACUCCAAAAUUUAAAGAUUUUUGGUUGCUUAUUGUCGAUACACGACGUCGGGCGACGGCUCCGCUCUUUUUGUUUAUUUAACAAAAAAAGAUUGUUUUAUUAUUGGGGGAAAUAGAUUUUAUUGGAGUCGCCAUCUAGUAAUUUGAGGGAACUAGAAAUCCCAAAUUAGACACUGGUUCCAAAGAUUCGAGUACUGGGUUAGUUAUGAUUAAGGGAAGGUAGACACCACCCUUAAAACAUCCUUUCAAAAGAAAGGUUACCCUUACUUGUGUGUUUUUUUAUUUUUUUUAAAUGAUAUUAUAUUUUGAGCUUAUUUGUAAUUUUAUUGUUUUUUUUUAUGGUUAACGUCGGUCCCUAAAAAUAGGAGACACAUUAAAAAUGACAUCAGUCCCUAAAAAUAGGAAACUUGUCUAAAAUAUUGACGUUUAACCCUAAAAAGGAGAUUUACGUCUGAGUUACCAAAAAACUAUGGACAUAAUCCAUAUUUGGUAUUUAAACUUUUGACAUCGGUCCUUUUCUAAAAAAGAGACGUGUCGACGAACAGUAUUUGUUUAUAAAAUAAAAAUUAUUUUUAUAUCGUUUGAGAAAUGGGUAUAACCGUAUUUGAAAAUUGGGCUUUGGACCCACGAAUGAUGACAUAAUAGGAUGGGUGUUGGACCCGCGUUGUUAUUCUUUUUUUUUUUUUGUGUUUAUUUUUUAUUUUACAACAUGCAAGAAAAUUUAUAUACAAAUAAAAAAAAUAUUAGCAAUCUAAAUAAAAUUACAUGAGUGACACAGUAUAGGUAAAAGACUGAAAUACCCUCGGAUUUAUCAGAAAUUUACGAAAAUGCCACUGGCGGCGCGUGUGGCUCACGCGUGGCUACUGUUGGUGGCGGCGAGAUUUUCAAGCGAGAUUUCUGGCCAACCGAUGGUCGGUUCUGGUAGAUCUGAGGUCGAGGAUUCUGUUGGUGGUGGUCUCGACGGACGUUGAUGGCUGAGGAGAGAGAAUCGAUGACUUGAAGCUUCGGUGGCCGGCGACGAUCGCGGCUUUUUUCCGGCCAGAUGAGGCGGUGAAAACGAUGAAAACCACCGGGGUUUUGCUUUUCAGGAGAUUGGAGACCUUUCUGUGGUGGUUCGGAGGCUGGAGACGGCCGGAUAUGGGAGAUCGGAGGAGAGAGAGAGAGUCGCCGGCGAGAGGAGAGAGAUGCUCCGAGAUGUGCUACGGUGCGGACGCGUGUAUGGUGUACCGGUGCCGCUGAAGGAUGGUAACCGUUGGAUCUUGGAUGAAACGAUCGGAUGGCUGUGAUUGACUAGAUCAGCAGGUUGAUCGGACGGCCCAGAUUGUCUGGUUUUUUGGCGCUAGAAGGAGGGCAUGUUAUUUAUUUGUGUAUUCACACACUUCACAGUGAACCCAUAAAAGCUCUGGACCCGAGCUCGUCCUUUUUAAGAUUAGAAAAGAAAGAUUCAGGUGGCAAGUGUGACUUAUGUCCACUGAUGCUCAUUUGGACUUUCGCUUGGAUUGUAACUCACCCUAUGCGACGGGUAUUGUGGAAUUUUCUUCCCAUACUCAUGUUGCUACCCAAUUUUUGACCCAUGUUUUUUUUAUAUAUUUUCAAAAAAAAUCCAAAAAAACAUUAAGAAAAAAUUUGAAAAUUUAAAAAUAUUUUUUUUUCUCUCUCGAGUCAACCGCAUCUCUUCAUUCAAACCAUGUCGACCAGGGUAAAAAAUGAGUUUCGGGCUGUUUCGGGUCAAAAAUAUCAUUUUCGACCAAAAUCGGGUUCACCGGGUCAAUACGGGUCAUACCAUGUUGACCAGGGUAAAAAAUAAGUUUCGGGCUGUUUCGGGUCAAAAACAUCAUUUUCGACCAAAGCCGAGUUCACCGGGUCAAUACGGGUCAAACCAUGUCGACCAGAGUAAAAAAUGAUUUAAUCCCGUUGCGCCACGUCAUCCGGUGCACCGAGCUUUCGGUGCACCGCGCCACACAGAAUAAAAAACCAGACAAUCUGGGCCGUCCGAUCAACCUGCUGAUCUAGUCAAUCACAGCCAUCCGAUCGUUUCAUCCAAGAUCCAACGGUUACCAUCCUUCAGCGGCACCGGUACACCAUACACGCGUCCGCACCGUAGCAAUCUCGGAGCAUCUCUCUCCUCUCGCCGGCGACUCUCUCUCUCUCCUCCGAUCUCCACUUUCCGGCCAUAUCAGCCUCCGAACCACCACAGAAAGGUUCCAAUCUGUAAAGCAAAACCCCGGUGGUUUUCAUCGUUUUCACCGCCUCAUCUGGCCGGAAAAAGGCCGCGAUCUCGCCGGCCACCGAAGCUUCAAGUCGUCGAUUCUCCCUCGUCAGCCAUCAACGCCGUCGAGACCACCACCAACAGAAUCCUCGACCUCAGAUCUACCAGAACCGACCAUCGGUUGGCCAGAAAUCUCGCCGAAAAUUCGCCGCCACCAACAGUAGCCACGCGUGAGCCACACGCGCCGCCAGUGGCAUUUUCGUAAAUUUCUGAAAAUCCGAGGGUAUUUCAGUCUUUUACCUAUACUGUGUCACUCAUGUAAUUUUAUUUAGAUUGCUAAUUUUUUUUAUUUUGUAUAUAAAUUUUCUUGCAUGUUGUAAAAAAAAAAAAAAAAAAAAAAAAAGAAUAACAACGCGGGUCCAACACCCAUCCUAUUAUGUCAUCAUUCGUGGGUCCAAAGCCCAAUUUUCAAAUAUAGUUAUACCCAUAUCUCAACGAUAUAAAAUAUUUUUUUUUAUAAACAAAUAUGUUGUCGACACGUCUCUUUUUUAAAAAGGACCGAUGUCAAAAGUUUAAAUACCAAAUAUGGAUUAUGUCCAUAGUUUUUUGGUAACUCAGACGUACUUCUCCUUUUUAGGGUUAAACGUCAAUAUUUUAGACAAGUCUCCUAUUUUUAGGGACUGAUGUCAUUUUUAACGUGUCUCCUAUUUUUAGGGACCGACGUUAACCAUAAAAAAAACAAAAAAAUUGCAAAUAAGCUCAAAAUAUAAUAUCAUUUAAAAAAAUAAAAAAACACACAAGUAAGGGUAACCUUUCUUUUGAAAGGAUGUUUUAAGGGUGGUGUCUACCUUCCCUUAAUCAUAACUAACCCAGUACCCGAAUCUCUGGGACCAGUGUCUAAUUUGGGAUUUCUAGUUCCCUCAAAUUACUAGAUGGCGACUCCAAUAAAAUUUUCAUUUCCCCAAUAAUAAAAAAAUCUUUUUUUUAAAAAAAAAAAAGAGCGGAGCCGUCGCCCGACGUCGUGUAUCGACAGAAUGGCGACUCCACUGGGGACAGGGUUGAACCAACUGCUUGUGUGUGCUUUUCAUUUUUUUUAUUGCUAUUUAUUUUUUGAGUAUUUAUUUUAUUUGCACUAUUUAUUUUAUGCAAUAUCAAUUGUAAAUCAUUUCAUUUUUUAAUUACACAUGCAUGCAUGUUAUUUAUUUGUGUAUUCACACACUUCACAGUGAACCCAUAAAAGCUCUGGACCCGAGCUCGUCCUUUUUAAGAUUAGAAAAGAAAGAUUCAGGUGGCAAGUGUGACUUAUGUCCACUGAUGCUCAUUUGGACUUUCGCUUGGAUUGUAACUCACCCUAUGCAACGGUAUUGUGGAAUUUUCUUCCCAUACUCAUGUUGUAUAAGGUUAAGAGGCCGAUACCCCAUGGGUAAUUCGGGCAAUCUAAGAACCAAAGAUGAUCUUUAAGAUUAGAAUCAACUGAGCCAAACCCUAUGAGCUAGAUCCUAUCAAUUAGGAUAUACCUUUAGGACACAAACAAAUAUCAAUGCAUUAACAUACAUGUUCAUAUACAUUUAUAUUCUCAUUAAAUCUCCACCGAUCCUCAUAGGAAGUGUGAGAUUAAAAAAAACCAUUACUAUUGAGGAAUUUUUGACCAGAUCAGAUUUGAACCAACAUGAUGAAGGGAUUGUUUGCCAUCAGAACAUGACAUCAAAUUUCUCCCCUAAAUCGGUUCAAGUCCCUGUAGGUUUGGAGUCCUCAGUGAGAACUUUUUUAAGAGAAUCUAUCUGGUCUGUUCCUCGUCAUAAUUAAAAAAAAUUUGAAACCAAUAACAAUCAUGCAUACACCAUAUGAUUUUGCAUCCAUUUGUGCAUUUCAUUUAGUUUACUUGCAUUCACUCAGGUUAAAAUAUAGAUCCCCCAAAAGGCCGUAAAAUUCAUUACACUCGACAACGAAGGAAGAUAAUGGAGAACGAAGAAAGGGCACACCUGGAGGCUCAUUAUCAAAGAGAGUUGGAGAACAUGAAAAAUGAUAUAGCACGACUUACAAGUCUACUCGAGCAGGCCCUAGUAUCCAAGUCUGGGGAAGGCACCUCUACUCAGCCGGCAGUUGCAACUCCAUCUAUAUCUAUGCCAUCAGCUCCCUUUGUUAUCCCGCCUCAAAAUUUAGGGGCAAAUCCCUCUUCAUUUGAACAACAGUUCACUGCCAAUGUUCCACCAGCACAAGUGCCAGUUAAUGUAAACCUGGCAACUGAUGACCCACAAAGGAUGAAAUUCUCUGAAAAUAUCGAUUAUGAUAAAUUGACCGCUCUGGAAGAGAGAUUGAAGGCAGUAGAAGGGGCAGACUUAUAUGAUCCUGUUUAUGCUGCAGAAAUGUGUUUAGUUCCAAAUGUAGUUGUACCCAGAAAAUUUAGGGUACCAGAAUUCAUCAAGUAUACGGGAACUGAAUGCCCAGUCACGCAUCUUAAAUCUUACUGCAAUAAGAUGGCAGAAGUAGUGAAUGAUGAGAAACUUCUCAUCCAUUUCUUUCAAGACAGUCUUUCUGGAUCGGCAUUAAGCUGGUAUACAAGGCUGGAUAACACCAAGAUCAGAAAGUGGAAAGAUUUGGUAAAAGCCUUUGUGGAGCAGUAUAAAUUCAACAUGGAGGUAGCCCCGGACAGGUCAAGCUUGUUAGUCAUGGAGAAGGGCAGCAAAGAGACUGUAAGAGAAUACGCUUUGAGAUGGCGUGAAAAAGCAUCGCAUGUGCAACCCUCUUUGUUAGAAAAAGAAAUGGUCACUCUGUUUUCUAACACUUUUAAAUCUCCAUACUUUGAACACCUGGUGGGUAGUUCAGCUCAGCAUUUCUAUGAUGCUGUAACUAUCGCUGAGAGAAUAGAACAAGCGAUAAGAGCGGGGAGAAUGUCAGAGCCUACUGAGAAGAAAGGCUUUACUGGGAAAAAGGAUGCCGAUGUGAACAAUGUGGAAGAAGUGUAUAAGGGUAUGAAAAAGAAUUACUAUCAUUAUAACUUCCAAAUACCUACCCAACAAGUUGCAAGUGUAAACUUCACUAAACAUUUCCCUACCAACCAACAAAAUCAACCAAAUAACCAAGAAAGUAACCAGAUUGUUAAUCCUCCAAGAAGGAAUUUUCAAAGAACCCAAGAACGACUGCCACCAUUACCACUUCCCUUAGGAGAAAUGUACUCGAAGUUGUUGAGUAUUGGGCAAAUAGCCCCUAUUCCCUUAACCCCACUGCAACCUCCAUACCCAAAUUGGUAUAAGACAGAUCUGAAAUGUGAGUAUCAUGCUGGCGCUGCUGGGCAUAACAUUGAAAGUUGUAAUGCAUUUAAGAACAAGCUUUUGCAAUUGAUAAAAGCUGGAUGGAUAUCUUUUGAUGAUGCACCAAAUGUGAAGUCCAACCCUUUGCCCAAUCAUGCAAGAGAAUUCAAAGAAGGGGAUCUUGUACUAUGAAAAUCUUGCCAUUACCAAGUGAAGACCGAAGCAAGUGGGCACCAAACUAUGAAGGCCCAUAUGUAGUGAAGAAAACACUAUCUGGAGGAGCUCUGUUGUUAAGUAGGAUGGAUGGAGAUGAUUUACCUAGGCCUGUGAACUCUGAUUCUGUGAAAAAGUAUUAUGUAUGAUGGUUUCAUCCAAUCAAAUCAAUAAAGUUUUGGCCAGGAAAUUCUCUUUGCAUUAUACCUCACCAAAAAGCCCAUGCAUGAUCUCAAUGGCUCAACAAUUUGAUCUUUCAAACUUUUUUUUACAGGAGAAUCCAUUCUUCUUAAAUGAGGUUUUAAAAGAACUGAUUUUGUUUGUGAUUUCAAUGAAAUAAAUCAAUGAUUUGUUUGGAAUAAUGUUCAGAGCAAUUCCCUUGAAAGAGAUGACCAAAAAAAAAAAAAACAUGCAAUUGGAACAACUAUCACCCAAAUUAUGUCUUGGAUCCACAUUUUAUCAGCAUGAAUAAUGGUUGGUAGUACAUUAGUUUGUCAUGGUCUCUUACAAAUCCAAGGCAUUACAUUGGAUGUGGACAAAGUUUAUUGGUUUUAACUGAUCUUACUUGAAAUGAGGAAAGGCCAUCUUUGAUAUUCCUUUCACUUUCUUUAAAAUUAUCCUUUGCAGUCCCAAUUUGAGCCGAGUCUAUUUAAAGCCUUUUCUUUCACAAGAACCUUAACUAAGAUCACACCCUACACUAGGGGGCAAACAGAGAAAUAUGAUUAAGAAAAUUGUCUUGAAGGCAUGUGAGCUUUAAAGAAAGUCUGACAACAAAGAAUUCAAUAAAUUCCAAACAAUUGAGAGAAUUCCUAACAAAUAUGGGAAUAACAAAAAAAAACAGAAGUUCCUCAUUUGGAAUAUUUAUCAUCAUUUUUGUUGUCAAGGUAGCAAAAGAAAAUGCCAAGACAAGAUAAUAGUGAUCUAUAGUUUAUAAGCCCUUAAACACUUUUUGAGCUUAUGGAAUACUCUUUCUUUUAUAGCCUUGAGCCAUAAAUACAUUACGUGCCUUUGAAGUCCUUUCUAAUCAAGUAAGCGACCUGGAUCAAUAAACGGCGUUCUCAAAAUAUAAGAGACUUUUCCACAAAGAGUCAUGCAUAGCAAAUAAUUACUCAUUAUUAUUCAUGCUGUUAAAAAGAGUGUUUCUAAAGAUAAAAGGCAAAUUGUUUCUUUUCUCUCAAAAUACCUUCAAGCAAUCGCUUGAACACUUUGAAAACCAAAGCAGAAGGUCAUCUCAUCACUUACCUUCAUCUUAGAUUACUUUUACCAAGAGAUUUGACAUAAAGCCCCAGAAUUGCCUGAACAUUGUUAUAAACAGACAUUGAGAGUUUCAGUUUUCGGAACAAAACAGAUCUUUUAAAAAAUCAUUUUUGAAAAAAGGUUUUCUUUGUAAGAAAAAUGAAUAUAACACUACAGGCACCAUUAGAAAAUCAGAGAUUCUAAUGACAACAAGAGCAAAGGAGGAAAUGAAAUGAGGCAGUUAAUUCUCCCAGGGGGCAGAGAAGCAGUUACCAGAUCCUUAACACAAAGAAAUUUGCUUCCCUAGUGGAAAAUACACAUGAUAAAACUGUGGACUUCUUCUAGCAUGCGGACUGAAAUAGUAUGAUUUUCAGUAUCUAUGAAAGGAGAUUGUUGACUCUUACAAUAUGAUCAGUUAGACAACAAGAUAACUGAUACAUCUUCAGUAAGAGAAAUGCAGAUGAAAUCUCAGGACAAUGUCGGGCCACGGAGAAGCUGAUUCUCUUAGUGAAGUUACCAAUAGAGAAACGUGCAGUGACUGUUGGGAAACUCAAAAAAGUGGACAACAUGGGUCAGCUUGAGUAGACUUGAAGUACGCGUAAAUCAAAAGAGCUCACUCAAAGUCAAAACCCUCAAACAAGAUGAACGGGGAUCUAUAUUUCAAAAACAGGUAAGAUGCAUUGCAUAUCAUCUCACUUCACAAGCAUCGCAUAUUUGUUUUGCAGAUAUCUCUCGAAACAAAACUCCUCAUGGGAUCCAACGAGACAAAGAUGAAUUGAAGUUCUUUUAAAUCAUAUCAAAUAUGGCAAUUCCACAAAGGCAAAAUUCAUGAAUGAAGACGAGAAGAUGGAUUUUUAUUCAUAGGCAUAAUGGUUUACAAGUACAAACGUUAAACACUGUGAGGACGAUUAGGGAUAUUUUCAUCUUGAUGGCCAAUCAUGCCUCGGAAUUCCUCAAAUUGCUUAUGCAUGCGCUCCAUCUCUUCCUCGAACUCGAGGUGUCGAGUGUUAACAUAGUCCCUCCAAAAGUCAACACGUGCAUUGAGCUCUUGGUUUCUCCUCUCCAAUUCGUUCCUGUAACGUCUCUCAUCAUGGAGCCUUUUCCUUAAAUUCUCAAUCUGAUUAUGGAGCUCAGGAAUUUGAGUAUUCAACUCAAGUCUUCUGGCAUGAAGACGCUCCGCAACAUUCACCAAAGACGAAGUAGCUCUGAUACUAAGAGCAAGUGACUGAUUCACUGCUUCAAUAUCGGUCCUCGCUGCCAGCAUCAUUUCAUCACGAGGAAGGAUCAUGUCUCUAGCCACGGCUACAGCGGUAUCUUCAUCGUCCAUUACAGUAUCCUCUAUUGUAACUGGACGACCAUUCACUUCAAAGGUUGUACGCCAAACUACAGGCUCUGCCAGGAACAAGGUUUGGAUUAGCAUUGGAAGAAGAGGAAGACAUGGUUAAAACUUCAAAAGUUAAGAACUUUGAGAGUAUUGAAAAUGUGAGAAGUGGAUGAUGUCUUUUGCCCAAUAUUGCGUGAUUUAUAGGGAAUUUUCUCCUGCCAUCAUUUUCAAUAGAAGAUCAGAUCUUAGCCGUGGAUACAAAACUUCCUUGGGAAGUUUUCCUCAUCUUUUGGGAUCCAUUUUCAAAUCAAAUCCCAACCGUACAUAUAAGACUUUCUUGAGAAGUUUUCCUGAUCCAUUCACAACUCAGAUCUCAACUGUACAUAUAAGACUUUCUUGAGCGUCGUCUUUGAGAUUGAUUUGCAAAUCAGAUCUCAACUGUACAUGUAAGACUUUCUUGAGUGUUAUCUUUGAGAUUGAUUUGCAAAUCAGAUCUCAGCUUUACAUAUACGACUUUCGUGAGAAGCUUACAUCAUCUUUGAGAUCGAUUUACAGAUCAAAUCUCAACCGUACAGGUAUGACUUCCUUUAGAAGUUUUCAUCAACCCUGAAGCUCAUUCACUUUCAAGCAUUUUAUCAUCGGGCAGGUCGCCUGGAACAAUUAGACCACUUGCGAUUUUCAUCGCAUUUUAUCAUCGGGCAGGUCGCCUGGAACAAUUUGACCACUUGCGAGUUUCCUCGCAUUUUAUCAUCGGGCAGGUCGCCUGGAACAAUUAGACCACUUGCGAUUUUCAUCGCAUUUUAUCAUCGGGCAGGUCGCCUGGAACAAUUUGACCACUUGCGAGUUUCCUCGCAUUUUAUCAUCGGGCAGGUCGCCUGGAACAAUUAGACCACUUGCGAGUUUCAUCGCAUUUUAUCAUCGGGCAGGUCGCCUGGAACAAUUAGACCACUUGCGAUUUUCCUCGCAUUUUUUUUCAUUCAUCGGGCAGGUCGCCUGGAACAAUUAGACCACUUGCGAGUUUCCUCGUAUUUUUUUUCAUUUAUCGGGCAGGUCGCCUGGAACAAUUAGACCACUUGCGAUUUUCAUCGCAUUUUAUCAUCGGGCAGGUCGCCUGGAACAAUUAGACCACUUGCGAGUUUCCUCGCAUUUUAUCAACGGGCAGGUCGCCUGGCCGUGGAACAAUUAGACCACUUGCGAGUUUCCUCGCAUUUUUUUCAUUUAUCGGGCAGGUCGCCUGGAACAAUUAGACCACUUGCGAUUUUCUCGCAUUUUAUCAUCGGGCAGGUCGCCUGGAACAAUUAGACCACUUGCGAGUUUCCUCGCAUUUUAUCAUCGGGCAGGUCGCCUGGAACAAUUAGACCACUUGCGAGUUUCUCGCAUUUUAUAUCGGGCAGGUCGCCUGGAACAAUUAGACCACUUGCGAUUUUCAUCGCAUUUUAUCAUCGGGCAGGUCGCCUGGAACAAUUAGACCACUUGCGAGUUUCCUCGCAUUUUUUUUCAUUUAUCGGGCAGGUCGCCUGGAACAAUUAGACCACUUGCGAUUUUCAUCGCAUUUUAUCAUCGGGCAGGUCGCCUGGAACAAUUAGACCACUUGCGAGUUUCCUCGCAUUUUAUCAUCGGGCAGGUCGCCUGGAACAAUUAGACCACUCACAAAAUUCUUUACUUCACAUUCUUUCUAUUUGGGUAGGUCGCCCAUCACAACGAGACCACUUCAUCAUAUUUUUUCCAUCUGGGUAGGUUACCCAUUACAAUGAGACCACACUUCAUAUUUUUUCCAUUUUUGGGUAGGUCACCCAUUACAAUGAGACCGCACUUCACAUUCUUUCUAUUUGGGUAGGUCGCCCAUCACAACGAGACCACUUCAUCAUAUUUUUUCCAUCUGGGUAGGUCACCCAUUACAAUGAGACAACACUUCACAUUAUUUUCCACCUGGGUUGGUUACCCAUUACAAUGAGACCACACUUCAUAUUAUUUCCAUUUUUGGGUAGGUCACCCAUUACAAUGAGACCGCACUUCAUAUUCUUUCUAUUUGGGUAGGUCACCCAUCAUAAUGAGACCAUUUUUUUUUUUCACAUUCUUUCCACCUGGGUUGGUUACCCAUUAUAAUAAGACCACGUUUUACACAUUCUUUUGUUUUGAUUGAAUGAGGAUUGCCUGAUGGGAUCUCAUGUAGCUUUGGGUUAAAGGGAAUCUCCAUAUGGGAUUUCAGGUUGACCGAGCUACACACAUUCUUUGGUUUUGGUAAAGGAGGUCACCAGAUGGGAUCUCAGGUUAACGAAAAAAGAGAGACAGAAAGAAAAGUUUUUUUUCUUUACAAAGCUUACUAUGCAAAACAUCGAGGAUUUUUGCUUCGUAAGCAUUGUAAAGAGGGGGCAUCUGUUGCUACCCAAUUUUUGACCCAUGUUUUUUUUAUAUAUUUUCAAAAAAAAUCCAAAAAAACAUUAAGAAAAAAUUUGAAAAUUUAAAAAAUUUUUUUUUCUCUCUCGAGUCAACCGCAUCUCUUCAUUCAAACCAUGUCGACCAGGGUAAAAAAUGAGUUUCGGGCUGUUUCGGGUCAAAAAUAUCAUUUUCGACCAAAAUCGGGUUCACCGGGUCAAUACGGGUCAUACCAUGUUGACCAGGGUAAAAAAUAAGUUUCGGGCUGUUUCGGGUCAAAAACAUCAUUUUCGACCAAAACCGAGUUCACCGGGUCAAUACGGGUCAAACCAUGUCGACCAGAGUAAAAAAUGAGUUUCGGGCUGUUUCGGGUCAAAACCGUCAUUUCUGACCAAAACCGAGUUCACCGGGUCAAUACGGGUCAUACCAUGUCGACCAGGGUAAAAAAUGAGUUUCGGGCUGUCUCGGGUCAAAACCGUCAUUUUCGACCAAAACCCGGUUCAUCGGGUCGAUACCCAUCAAAUGUUUUUUUUGGUAUUCUAUUUUUUGGCGGUUGAAAUGAGAUUUUUCUAAUACUGAUUUGAAUUUUAGUUUUACCCAUGUAAAUAUUUAUUAUUAUAUAUAAUAAAACAAAAUUAUGGUAGUUGUGUGCAAUAUUUAUUAUUAUAUAUAAUAAAACAAAAUUAUGGUAGUUGUGUGCAUUAUUUAUUAUUAUAUAUAAUAAAACAUUUUUAUGGUUGUUGUCCCGUGGCUAUAAAUAGCCACGAGAGGGGGGCAGAAGGAGAAACGGGAAAAAAUAAAAAAGGAAGAGAAAAGAAAAAAAGAAAGAAUCGAUUGAUACUAUUUCUAAUUUUUUUAGUUUUUUCUUCAGGAGAGUAGGAUAUUGUCUUUUAAAAAAAAAAAAUUAAAAAAUACCAAACAUAUCCGAACACAUCUCAGCCGUUAACAUAUUCCAGGAUUUAAUCUCGUUGCGCCACGUCAUCCGGUGCACCGCGCCACACAGAAUAAAAAACCAGACAAUCUGGGCCGUCCGAUCAACCUGCUGAUCUAGUCAAUCACAGCCAUCCGAUCGUUUCAUCCAAGAUCCAACGGUUACCAUCCUUCAGCGGCACCGGUACACCAUACACGCGUCCGCACCGUAGCACAUCUCGGAGCAUCUCUCUCCUCUCGCCGGCGACUCUCUCUCUCUCCUCCGAUCUCCCAUAUCCGGCCGUCUCCAGCCUCCGAACCACCACAGAAAGGUCUCCAAUCUCCUGAAAAGCAAAACCCCGGUGGUUUUCAUCGUUUUCACCGCCUCAUCUGGCCGGAAAAAAGCCGCGAUCGUCGCCGGCCACCGAAGCUUCAAGUCAUCGAUUCUCUCUCCUCAGCCAUCAACGUCCGUCGAGACCACCACCAACAGAAUCCUCGACCUCAGAUCUACCAGAACCGACCAUCGGUUGGCCAGAAAUCUCGCUUGAAAAUCUCGCCGCCACCAACAGUAGCCACGCGUGAGCCACACGCGCCGCCAGUGGCAUUUUCGUAAAUUUCUGAUAAAUCCGAGGGUAUUUCAGUCUUUUACCUAUACUGUGUCACUCAUGUAAUUUUAUUUAGAUUGCUAAUAUUUUUUAUUUGUAUAUAAAUUUUCUUGCAUGUUGUAAAAUAAAAAUAAACACAAAAAAAAAAAAAGAAUAACAACGCGGGUCCAACACCCAUCCUAUUAUGUCAUCAUUCGUGGGUCCAAAGCCCCAAUUUUCAAAUACGGUUAUACCCAUUUCUCAAACGAUAUAAAAAUAAUUUUUAUUUUAUAAACAAAUACUGUUCGUCGACACGUCUCUUUUUAGAAAAGGACCGAUGUCAAAAGUUUAAAUACCAAAUAUGGAUUAUGUCCAUAGUUUUUGGUAACUCAGACGUAAAUCUCCUUUUUAGGGUUAAACGUCAAUAUUUUAGACAAGUUUCCUAUUUUUAGGGACUGAUGUCAUUUUUAACGUGUCUCCUAUUUUUAGGGACCGACGUUAACCAUAAAAAAAAACAAUAAAAUUACAAAUAAGCUCAAAAUAUAAUAUCAUUUAAAAAAAAUAAAAAAACACACAAGUAAGGGUAACCUUUCUUUUGAAAGGAUGUUUUAAGGGUGGUGUCUACCUUCCCUUAAUCAUAACUAACCCAGUACUCGAAUCUUUGGAACCAGUGUCUAAUUUGGGAUUUCUAGUUCCCUCAAAUUACUAGAUGGCGACUCCAAUAAAAUCUAUUUCCCCCAAUAAUAAAACAAUCUUUUUUUAUUAAAAUAAACAAAAAGAGCGGAGCCGUCGCCCGACGUCGUGUAUCGACACUUAUGUUUCACCUGUGUUCCUCAGGUAAGAAGAGAUAAACUUGAAAAAAAGGCUAAAGAUGGCAUCUUUGUUGGCUAUAGAGUCUUUCAACCUCAAACAAAAAAGGUGAUAGUUAGCAGAGACAUCAAAUUCAUUGAAACCGAAAAACGGAACUUCAAAGAUGCAAGUGCAGGUAUGGAGAUUGUGCAGGAUGUUGAUGACAUUGAUGAAGCACCAGUUAGAGGAACUAAGUUGCUUACAGAUAUUUAUCAAAGCUGCAAUGUAGCUGUGUUAGAACCUGUAGAAUUUGAAGAAGCCAAAAAUGAUCCAAAAUGGAUUGAUUGAAUGAAUGAAGAGUUAAGGAUGAUUGAGAAUAAUCAAACAUGGAAAUUGGUGGACAUGCUAGAGCACAAAAAACCUAUUGGAGUAAAAUGGGUUUACAGAACAAAAUUGAAUGUUGAUGGCAUUAUCAACAAACACAAAGCCAAAUUGGUGGUUAAAGGUUAUGCACAGAUUUUUGGUGUUGAUUUUUCAAAGACAUUUGCACCAGUUGCAAGCCUGGAUACCAUAAGAAUGCUACUAGCUCAAAAAGGUUGGAAAAUCUUUCAACAUGAUGUGAAGUGUGCAUUCUUGAAUGGCUAUCUGCAUUAGGAGAUUUUCGUUGAAUAGCCAAAAGGAUUUGUUGUAAGAGGAGAAGGAAGAAAAGGAUUACUUAUUGAAGAAAGCUUUAUAUGAGUUGAGAAUAAUUAGGAGGCUUAACCCAAUAGUUAACCAACCCUUUCUAUAUAUAUGAGUAGGGCAAUAUACAAUAGUAAAGGUGGAGUUUACCACAUAAGAAUAUGACUACAAUAUUUCCUAUAUAGUUACAUUCUAUAAUACGCCCCCUCAAGCUGAGGGUGGAGGAUCAACCCGAAGCUUGAAUCGAAAAGCAAUAAACGAAGCAGCAGGAAGUGGUUUAGUGAAGACAUCGGCAAGUUGAUCCUGAGAGGAAAUAAAACGAAUCUAAAUAUCCUUCUUCGCAACUCUAUCUCGGAAAAAAUGAUAAUCAAUCUCAAUAUGUUUUGUGCGAGCAUGAAAUAUAGGGUUUGCGGACAAAUACGUGGCACCAAGAUUGUCACACCAGAUAAUAGGGGCAGAAGGAGUCGGAAUCUGAAGAUCCGUUAACAAGUACUGAAGCCAGAUAACUUCAGUCGUGCCAUCGGCUAAGGCUUUGUACUCAGCUUCCGUCGAAGAAUGAGCAACAGUGCGUUGCUUACUCGAUUUCCACGAAAUCGGCGUCUGACCAAAGAACACAAGAUAACCACCUGUAGACUUUCUAUCCUAAAUACUACCUGCCCAAUCUGCAUUUGUAAAACCGUGUAAAGCAAAAGAAGAGUUGCGAGUAAUAUGUAAACCAUGUGAUGCCGUACCACGAAGAUAACGCAAGAUGCGUUUCAUGGCUGCCCAAUGAGAUUCUAUAGGAGCAUGCAUAAAUUGACAGACCCGGUUAACAGCAAAGCAAAUAUCCGGACGUGUGAAAGUGAGAUAUUGGAGAGCACCAACAAGUUGCCGAAAACGAGUAGCAUCAGAAAACAAUGGAUCCGGCAUAAUGGUGGCUUUGGAUGCCGAAAUAGGAGUAUCAACUAGUUUACAGGAUAACAUACCAGCUCGUGUGAGGAUAUCAAGUGUAUACUUAUGUUGGCAAAGCAUAAGUCCCAGACCAGUACACUGCACUUCAAUACCCAAGAAAUAAUGAACAUCACCCAAAUCCCAAAGUUUAAACUAUGAGCUCAGUAGCUGAAUGAGGCGUUGUAGCAGAAUUCCAUUAUUACCCGUAAGUAGAAUAUCAUCAACAUAAAUCAAAAGAUAACAAAUAUCACUACCAACCGAGAAGAUAAACAAUGAGGUAUCCACUUUAGAAGCACAUAAACCAAUGGAUAAUAGGAAGUCAUUCAGACGAGUGUACCAAGCCCACGGAGCCUAUUUUAACCCAUAUAGAGAUUUAUGCAAUUGACAUACAUGACCUGGGAGUGCAGAAUCAACAAAAUCUGGAGGUUGUUUCAUGUAAACCUCUUCAUCAAGGACUCCAUUUAGAAAUGCAUUAUGAAUGUCAAGCUGAUGAAUUUUCCAACCACUCGAAAUUGCAGUCCAUUAUAAUAAUGAUAGGCAAAAAAGGUUCAUUGUGGCGUAAAAGACAAUUUAGACCAAUAUAAAUGACUAGUCGUUGCAUUUGAUGGGAUUGACUCGUGUGUUAAUUGUACAUUACCUUGCACAUUAAAGUUUCAUGCACCUAUUUCAUUUUAUUUUUUUUCCAUAUUAAAGAGUAACAAGUAAAAUCAUAUAUUUAUUAGCAUCAAGCAAAAAGGUUUUACAAUUUAUUCUUCCACAUAAUUUAAUUUUAAAUAAUAAUGUUUUGAAUCUCUCUCUCUAAUUCUUGAUACAUUCUUGAUAUAUUUAUGACCUAACACUUGUUAACCUUUCAAAUAAUAAUAAGGCUAUUAGAGUUCUCACCUCCUCUUAAAGAGGACCUUUACAGCCUUGUGAGGGUAUGCUGAAUUCUCUCUCCAAUUCUUGAUACAUUCUUGUUUAAUGAAGCUGAACCAAACAUAGCACGGUUGUCAUCUUGCGUCUUAAAUAUGCUAGUGUCUAAGAGGGUGGACUGUUCGAUUUUACUGUUUUUUGGUCCCAUCCAUAUUAAAUAUGUUUGUGUUUCUAGAUAUGGGAUCAUUACUGAUAACUAUGAAUUAUUGCCCGUUCAUUUGUGGUAUAAUUAAUUCCUAUAUAUAUCAGUAAUUUCCUAACUCCAUUAAUAGUUAAAUUUGAGGUCAUUAUUUUCUCCCAUUUCCACGUUUAUCCAAAUAUUGUUGCACUUUGUUUCCAAGUGACGUAUAAUUUCCAAGUUCCAAUCCAAUUGUCAAUACAUUGAAAGAAAUUUCUGUAAAGAAUCAAGGGGAAUGUGAAAAACAGCAACAUUAUUGUUCAGUCUCCAAAAUGUUUCUUCGCAUAAUUUGAUUUCUCCAAUUAUUUGGAGAAACAGUUUCCCUUCUUAGUCAAGCCACUAAGUAAAUACAAGCUGAAUUCUGGAAUGGCAAUAUUCCAUGGCUUUCUAAUUGUUUCUUAGCACAAUUAUUUGUCCAGUCUCCAAAAUGUUCUGUUUGUGUGCUUUUUAGUUUUUCCCCUUCUAAGCCAGCAGUGGAGAACAGUAGCUUUGAUUGUGAAGGCACGACAAAAAGCCGAGGAGAAAACGAGCAAGGCCGAAGAAGGAUUUAGUGCAUGAGUCAACGGCAACUAUAGGUACUUCUCCCUCACAUGUGCUUUUUCACAUGCACGCUUGUGUAUGUUUACCACUCUCCAUAGAGACUGUGUUCAGUAAGGAACAAUUUGUAACUUGUUUUUGUAGGCAUGGACCAAGCUAAUGCAGAGGAGUGCGAGGCCACACAUGAAAUAAUUACUCUUCAAUGGAUUUAAGACCUCACAAAUUCUUCUUCCCCCUCUGAUCAGUACUGCAGUAUAUUUCCUGUUGUGUAUUGCUGGAAACUGAAACGAUAACUUUGUAGUUGGAUCAUGCUUAGUUCAAAUCAUUGGGAUAUUUUCUCCCUUGCAGAAUGGUUACUGUUUGUGUUGUGGUCUGAAGUUACAGUUGCUAUUUACUGUCUGGAACAUGCACUCAGCAUAGAUACAGUAUAUACUGCUGCGGGAUUCUACCGUACAUCUACUAGUUACAGCACUUUCACCACUCCUGGGAGCAAGAAUCUAUCUAACAUGCUUACUUGAAGAAUUUACUCAGUCUUGGGGUAAUAGUUAAUGCUUCUAUUUGCUUUUCUCAUGGUAAAAAACCUAGACCAUCCUUUUAUUUUCAUGUUGAGCUGAAACAUUUAUCAUAUUUUCAAAUUGGAGGAGGACUUGACUGCACAACUUGCCAACUGCCAUGCCUAUAUGUUGAUGAUUUGAUAUUCACCGGCAACAACCCUAUCAUGUUUGAAGACUUCAAACAAAGCAUGGUACAAGAGUUUGAGAGGACAGACAUUGGUCUAAUGUCACAUUUUCUUGGCUUAGAAAUAACGCAGAAAAAAGAAGGGAUUUUUGUAUCCCAAAGCGGUUACGCCAAAGAUAUUCUUGAAAGGUUCAAGAUGGAAAGCUGCAAUCCGGUAUCAACUCCAGUUGAGAAUGGAGUGGAAUUGAGGAAGAGUAGAGUUGAAAAUGUUGAUCCAACUUACUUCAAAAGCUUAGUAGGCAGCUUAAGGUACUUGACAUGUACCAGACCGGAUAUACUCUACAGAGUCGGACUAAUCAGCAGAUAUAUGGAGACACCAGACCAGUCUCACUUGAAUGCAGCCAAGAGAAUUCUUCGCUACAUCAAAGGCACAAUAAAUGAAGGUAUGUUUUAUACCUCAAGUAAAGAUUUCAAUCUUGUAGGCUACUCGGAUAGUGAUUGGGAUAGAGAUCUGGAUGAAAGGAAAAGCAUAACAGGGUUUUUCUUUUUCAUGGGAGAUACAUCUUUCACAUGGUCAUCCAAGAAGCAAUCAAUUGUAACGUUAUCAAGCCGUGAAGCUGAGUAUGUUGCUGUCAACUCAGUUGUAUGCCAUUCAAUAUGGUUAAGGAAUAUGCUGAAGUUUCUGCGAUUUCCUUAAGAAAAUCCUACAGAGAUUUAUAUUGUCAAUCGAUCAGCGAUUGCAUUGGCAAAGAACUCGGUGUAUCAUGAAAGAAGUAAACACAUUGAUGCACGUCAUCAUUUUAUCCGAGAGCAUGUGAAAAAUAAAGAAGUCGAGCUGAUAUCCUGCAAUACAAAUGAUCAAGUUACAGAUAUCUUCACAAAGCCAUUGAAGGGAGAAGUAUUUAUCAGAUUAAAGUUCAUGCUUGACAUGACAUCCCUCGAUUGAGUUUAAAGGGGAGAUUUGUUGAAGUAAACUCAAUAUCUAGAAGGUCAAGCAAGACAACCACCCAUCACCACUUGCAGCCACCAGCUGCCACCAACCGCAGCCGCCAGCCGCCAGCCGCCUUCACACUUGAAGGUUGAAUUUUCUUGUUUUGAAUUCGUGUAUAAAUAGGCUGCUAAGCUUAUGUUAUUAUGUGUGGAGAGUUUAGAGAGCAACACUAGAAAGAGAGAGAGAGGGUGUGUAUUAAGAUUUUGUGUUAGUGUAAGCUUUUUGUUUUUGAAAUAAAACUUUGUGUUUUAUCCCCUCUGAGUGUUUCAAAGCCACCACCAGUGGUUUCUCCCACCAACAAUUGGUAUCAGAGCCUUGUUCGUCAGAAAACAUAAGUGUUUUGGGAUAUACCCGAAUUUUCAAAGUUUUUAUCAUUCCACAAUGUAGAGCUCAUCAAUACGAACUCACUGGUGCAAGAAUCAGCCUCAUCGAAGCCCAAGGUGAGCCACACGCGCCGCCUUAAGAUUCUGCACAGGUCGCCCACGCGCAUCCCACGUGCGCCAAAUGUUGAAGACGAGUUCCAUCUAAGCCGAGCCAUCCUCCACGCCGAGCCGAGCCGUUUAAGCCGUGUCCUAGCCGAGCCACAAGUCAAGUGCAGCCGAGCCGUCCUCCGCGUCGAGCCGAGCCGUUUUCUAGUCACAGCCGAGCCGACAGAAUAUUCCCGGUUCGCCCCCAGCAGUUUUUUGACUGGUUCACCCCAUUUGUGACCCAUUUUCAACAAGGUCAGACCAAUUCCCUAUUAUUUUAAGUAUUCCUGAUCGAUCUACAAUGUCCGUUUUGCCAAAUUCAGCUCCCAUAAGGUGAUAUAGUCAUUCAAAGAGCAAAAUGACUACAGAAAGUACACAAACACUCAUCCCGAAGCUGACCAAAGAUAACUAUGAUAGUUGGUGCAUCAAAUUAAAGGCAUUCCUUGGUUCACAAGAGUGUUUAUAUAUUGUACAAUAUGAUUAUGAUGAACCAGAGUCCAAAGAAGCAGAAGAUGCUCUACAAGAGGCACAAAAGCAAGCCCUGAAAGUCAACAGAAAGAAAGACAACAAAGCAAAGACCAUCAUCUAUCAAGGUCUUGAUGAAGAUACAUUCGAGAUCAUUGUUUCCUCUGAAACAUCAUAUGACAUAUGGGAGACUCUCUAACAAAAAUACAAAGGUGCUGACAUAAUCAAGAAGAUUCGUCUUCAAUCUUUGUGAGGUGAAUUUGAGUUAUUGGAAAUGAAGUCUUCGAAAUCUAUUUCUGAUUAUCACACAAGAAUUAUGGUGAUAGUCAAUCAAAUGAGAAGAAAUGGAGAAGCCAUCACAGAUUCUCGAAUUACUGAGAAAAUUUUGAGAUCCCUAGAUCUAAAAUUUGAUUUUGUUGUUGUCGCCAUUGAAGAGUCCAAAGAAGUGGACAAGUUAAUAGUGGAUGAACUUAUGAGUUCUUUGCAAGCUCAUGAGCAAAAGAUCGUAAAGAGAAAUGGAGAUAAGGCAAUUGAGCAUGCCUUACAAGCAAAGUUAUCUUUCAAAGUCAGAUAUGAGCAAGGGGAGACUUCAACAAGUGGAUAUACCACUCAAGCAAGAAGUCAAUAAUCGAGAGGAGGAUUUCAGCGAUUCCAAGGAAGAGGAUCUUGGAAUACAGGCUUUAGAGGAAGAGGUGGUAGAAACAUCACCAGAGGAGGUCGAGGACAACAAGCAUUCAUUCCUAGAGGAAGAGGAGGCGGUUACAAUAACCGUGACAAGAGGAAUAUCCAGUGUUAUAGUUGCAAUCAAUUUGGGCACUAUAGCACUGAAUGUCGAAGGAAAGCUCCGUUAGAGAUACGAGAGCAAGCCAACUAUGCAGAGAAGGAUGACAGAGAAGUAGUUGCAUUACUUGUCCAACAAGGACUUGUUGAGAAACAUGAGAAUAUAUGGUAUCUAGAUUUUGGAGCCAGCAAUCACAUGUGUGGUCACCGAGAUUUAUUUGGUGAUCUAGAUAAGACCGUACAAGGUCUAGUUACGUUUGGAGAUACCUCAAAGGUUCUAUUCAAAGGUAAAGGCAACAUCCCAAUCAACUUGAAGAACGGCGAUCACAGCUACCUCGCCGAUGUUUAUUAUGUCCCAGCCAUAAAGCAGAACUUGAUCAACAUAGGUCAACUUAUGGAGAGAGGUUGUACUCUUUUCACGAAGAAUUGUCAUUUGACAAUUACAGACUACAAUGGGAGACUAAUUGCCUAUGUGAAAAUGUCCAAGAAUAGGAUGUUUCCUUUAAACAUCCAGUAUGAUGCAGCAAAGUGUUUGAGCGCCAUCACCAACAGUGAAGAAUGGCUUUGGCACCUAAGGCUUGGACAUCUGAAUUUCACGAGUCUGAAGAUGCUAGCAAGCAAGAAGAUGGUCAAAGGUAUGCCUCACAUUGAUCAUCCAGAUGAAGUUUGUGAGAGUUGUGUCCUCAGCAAACAUCACAGAUCCAGUUUUGCCAAAGAAGUCAACUGGAAAGCAAAGAGGCCACUGGAGUUAGUGCACACAGAUGUGUGUGGCCCAAAAAAGCCUAUGUCGACUGGACAAAAUAGGUACUUCCUCACUUUUAUUGAUGAUUUUAGCAGAAAGACGUGGAUAUACUUUCUGAAGAGAAAGUCAGAAGUAUUCAAUUGUUUUAAAGAUUUUAAAGCAAUUGUUAAGAAGCAAAGUGGCUAUAAGAUCAGAACUGUAAAUCUGAUCAAGGUGGAGAAUAUACAGCAAAUGACUUUGAAGCCUUUUACACAACAAGGCAUCAGACAUCAGACAACCAGCUUAUACACCACAGCUGAAUGGUGUAGCAGAGGAAGAAUCGCACGAUUCUUGACAUGGCAGAAGUCUGCUCAAAGCAAAGAAGUUGCCCAAGCAAUACUGGGCUGAAGCUGUAUCAUGUGCAGUGUAUCUACUGAAUCGCUGCCCAACCAGAAGUUUGCAAGGAGUCACUCCAGAAGAAGCAUGGAGUGGUCACAAACCAAGUGUUACUCAUCUACGAGUCUUUGGUUGUGUGGCAUAUGCAAAGAUCCCAGAUGCAAGAAGGAGAAAGCUCGAUGAUAAAGCGAGAAAUGCAUCUUUGUCGGAUAUGGUGAAAGAAGGAUGGGAUACAGGCUGUAUAAUCCCAUCACGAAGAAGGUGAUUACGAGUAGAGAUGUUAUCUUUGAAGAAGAUAAAUCUUGGGCAUGGAAUGAUGAUCAAGAAGCAGUCAAAUGGAUCAACACUGAUUUGAUCCUUGAAGGUGAAGAAGUACCAACAGUACUUGUCGAAGAACCGAUUGUGCCAGCAGCUGAACCACAAAGUCCGGCACACAGUUUCCCUGUAUUCAACAGGAGAACACACCAGGAGCAUCAUCAUCAACACCACCAUCAGCAUCCUCAUCAGAAGGACCAAGAAGGAUGAGAAAUCUUGAAGAGCUGUAUGAUGCCACUCAAGUCAUGGAAGAUACAACUUUGUUUUGUUUCUUUGCAGAUAGUGACCCAUUAAGCUUCAAUGAAGCUGUCACAGAAGAGAAAUGGAUAAAGCAAUGGAUGAAGAAAUACAUGCCAUUGAGAAGAAUGAUACCUGGAAGCUGACUUAUCUACCAGAAAACAAGAAAGCAAUAGGUGUCAAAUGGGUCUACAAGACGAAGAAGAAUGCAAAAGGAUAAGUGCAAAGAUACAAAGCCAGAUUAGUGGCUAAAGGCUACAAACAGAGAGAAGGCAUUGACUAUGGAGAAGUAUUUGCUCCAGUAGCCCGGCUAGAGACAAUCAGACUGAUGAUCUCACUAGCUGCACAACAUAGAUGGAAGAUCUAUCAACUCGAUGUGAAGUCAGCAUUUCUGAAUGGCUUCCUAGAAGAAGAUCUAUGUUGAACAACCACUUGGAUACAUUGAUGCUGAAAAUGAAGGCAAAGUAUACAAGUUGAAGAAGGCUCUCUAUGGUUUGAAGCAAGCUCCGCGUGCUUGGAAUACCAGAAUUGACAGGUAUUUUCAAGAUAAUGGAUUUGAAAAAUGUCCAUAUGAACACGCAAUAUGUGAAGAAAGGAGCAGAUGGCAGCAUCUUAUUUGCGUGCCUGUAUGUUGAUGAUUUGAUAUUCACCGGCAACAACCCUACCAUGUUUGACGACUUCAAACGAAGCAUGGUACAGGAGUUUGAAAUGACUGACAUUGGUCUAAUGUCACAUUUUCUUGGCUUAGAAGUAACGCAGAAGGAAGAAGGGAUUUUUGUAUCCCAAAGCGGUUACGCCAAAGAUAUUCUUGAAAGGUUCAAGAUGGAAAGCUGCAAUCCGGUAUCAACUCCAGUUGAGAAUGGAGUGGAAUUGAGGAAGAGUAAGGUUGGAAAUGUUGAUCCAACUUACUUCAAAAGCUUAGUAGGAAGCUUAAGGUACUUGACAUGUACCAGACCGGAUAUACUCUACGGAGUCGGACUCAGCAGAUACAUGGAGACACCAGACCAGUCUCAUUUGAAUGCAGCCAAGAGAAUUCUUCGCUACAUCAAAGGCACAAUGAAUGAAGGUAUGUUUUAUACCUCAAGUAAAGAUUUCAAUCUUGUAGGCUACUCAGAUAGUGAUUGGGAUAGAGAUCUGGAUGAAAGGAAAAGCAUAACAGGGUUUUUCUUUUUCAUGGGAGAUACAUCUUUCACAUGGUCAUCCAAGAAGCAAUCGAUUGUAACGUUAUCAAGCUGUGAAGUUGAGUAUGUUGUUGUCAACUCAGUUGUAUGCCAUUCAAUAUGGUUAAGGAAUAUGGUGAAGUUUUUGGGAUUUCCUCAAGAAAAUCCUACAGAGAUUUAUAUUGACAAUCGAUCAGCGAUUGCAUUGGCAAAGAACUCGGUGUAUCAUGAAAGAAGUAAACACAUUGAUGCACGUCAUCAUUUUAUCCGAGAGCAUGUGAAAAAUAAAGAAGUCGAGCUGAUAUCCUGCAAUACAAAUGAUCAAGUUACAGAUAUCUUCACAAAGCCAUUGAAGGGAGAAGUAUUUAUCAGAUUAAAGUUCAUGCUUGGCAUGACAUCCCUCGAUUGAGUUUAAAGGGGAGAUUUGUUGAAGUAAACUCAAUAUCUAGAAGGUCAAGGAAGGCAACCACCCAUCACCACUUGCGGCCACCAGCUGCCACCAACCGCAGCUGCCAGCCGCCUUCACACUUGAAGGUUGAAUUUUCUUGUUUUGAAUUCUUGUAUAAAUAGGCUGCUAAGCUUAUGUUAUUAUGUGUGGAGAGUUUAGAGAGCAACACUAGAAAGAGAGAGAGAGGGUGUGUAUUAAGAUUUUGUGUUAUUGUAAGCUUUUUGUUUUUGAAAUAAAACUUUGUAUUUUAUCCCCUCUGAGUGUUUCAAAGCCACCACCAGUGGUUUCUUCCAUCAACAGGUUUCAAUGAGUUUUUUUGUUGCUGAUAAUGAUUUAUUAGCCAAUAAAUUUAGGUUCAUUUAGGAUGAGUUUUUAUGUUGACUGAAAACUCUGGACUUUUCCCUUGUCAUGGACCAUUUGUGUGCUUAAAUAUGUUACUUUUUUGGUACCAGUGAGUUAAAAAAAUUUCCAGCAAUGGCUUCUUCUAGUUUUGAUUUUAUAUUCCUAGUAGUAAUGUUACUGUUACCAUUCAUGGCUGCUGCUCAAACUAACGGAAGAGUACCCGUGGGAGCAUCCAUCACUGCAACUGAUGAUUCUCCUUCAUGGCUUUCUGAUUCUGGUGAAUUUGCAUUCGGUUUUCGCCAGCUGGAGAACAAGGAUUAUUUCUUGUUGUCCAUUUGGUAUGAAAAGAUUCCUGAGAAGACCGUAGUUUGGUAUGCAAUUGGAGAGGAUCCUACAGAUGAUCGAAGGUGGAGCUGACUGAUGAUCGUGGGCUGUUGCUUGCUGAUCCUCAAGGCAAUCUAAUAUGGACAUCUCGUAUCCUUCUAGGUGCAGUUUCGUCAGGUGUUCUGAAUGACACUGGCAACUUCGUGCUUCAAAACAGAAAUUCUGACAGGUUGUGGGAGAGUUUCAACAAUCCCACUGAUACAUUGUUGCCUACUCAGAUUAUGGAGGCUGGAGGGGUGGUUUCUUCUCGAAGGACGGAGACCAACUUUUCGCUGGGGAGAUUCCAGCUCCGUUUGCUUGAUAAUGGAAAUCUUGUGCUGAAUUCCAUGAACUCGCCAACCAAAUUUGCUUACGACGAGUACUAUAGAAGUGGAACUUCUGAUGCUUCAAAUUCAUCAAAUUCUGGUUAUGGAUUGAUCUUCAAUGAGUCAGGCUACAUGUACAUAUUGAGAAGAAAUGGGCUGAGAGAGGAUCUCACAAAAACAGCACUUCCUACUACAGGCUUCUACCGUAGGGCAACUCUCAAUUUCGAUGGUGUUUUCACUCAAUAUUCAUACCCGAAAACAUCCUCUUCUAUUAGAAGCUGGUCACCUGUCAGGUCUGAACCAGAAAAUAUAUGCAAGUUUAAUUCAAUUUGGGGUAGUGGAGCGUGUGGAUACAACAGCAUCUGCAGCCUAAGUGUUGAUCGAAGGCCCAAUUGUACUUGUCCACAAGAAUUUUCUUUGCUUGAUCAGAAUGACAAGCAUGGAAGCUGCAUACCAAAUUUCGAAAUAAGCUGCAAAGAUAAUGGAAAAAAUUCCUCAGAAGAUCUGUAUGAUUUUGUUGAGCUAAGAUAUGUUGAUUAUCCAUCAGGUGAUGCAGAACAUUUACAACCUCAAAAUGAAGAGCAGUGCAGAAAAGCUUGCUUGAAUGACUGUCUGUGUGGGGCUGUCAUCUUUUUAGGCAACAACUGCUGGAAGAAGAAGUUACCACUUUCGAAUGGAAAAGUUGACAGUGGUUUUAACGGGAAGACUUUCAUCAAAUUUAAGAAAGGUGAUAUCCCUGCCGGGAAUCCUGGUCUUCAGAUUCCUGAAACGAAGACGGAAAGGGACAUUAAGGUCAUCACAGGAAUAGUGCUCUUGGUCAGCUCUGUAUUUGUCAACUUUAUAUUGAUCAGUACAUUAUGUUUCUGUUCUUCCUUCAUUUACCGCAACAAAGUAGCAAAUGUUCGAGAAGAAAACAAUGUGGAGUCAAACUUGCGUUCAUUUACAUACAAAGAGCUCACAGAAGCUACAGAAGGCUUCCAGGAUGAACUGGGGAGAGGAGCUUUUGGUGGUGUUUACAAAGGUGCGAUAAAAACAGGUUUUACUAAUUUUAUUGCUGUGAAGAAGUUAGAUGGCGUGGUUGAACAUGGUGAGAAGGAAUUCAAAACCGAAGUGAACGUGAUCAGUCAGACGCAUCACAAGAAUUUGGUCCGAUUGUUAGGAUUUUGUGACGAGGGGCAGCAUCGUUUGUUGGUGUAUGAGUUCUUGAGUAAUGGCACUCUAGCCGAUUUUCUUUUUGGAAGCUUAAGGCCUAGUUGGAAGCAAAGAACUCAGAUUGCCUUCGGCAUUGCAAGAGGACUCUUGUACCUACACGAAGAAUGUAGCACCCAAAUCAUUCACUGUGACAUAAAGCCGCAGAACAUUCUUAUUGAUGACUACUACAAUGCUCGGAUAUCAGAUUUUGGAUUGGCAAAACUUUUGGCGAUUAAUCAGAGCCAAACCAAAAUUGCCAUCGAAGGAACAAAAGGAUAUGUUGCUCCUGAAUGGUUCAGGAACACACCAGUCACUGUGAAGUUUGAUGUCUAUAGCUUUGGUGUCUUGCUGCUAGAGAUCAUCUGCUGUCAGAGAAGUGUAGAUCUGGAGAUCAGUGGAACUGGAGCUAUAUUGACCGACUGGGCUUAUGACUCCUAUAGGCAUGGAACGCUUGACGCUUUGAUUGAAGAUGAUAUGGAGGCCAUGAAUGACGUAUCAACACUAGAGAGGGCUAUGAAGGUUGCAAUUUGGUGCAUUCAAGAGGUGCCAUCUCUUAGACCCACCAUGAGGAAGGUGACACAGAUGCUUGAAGGAGUUGUUGAAGUUCCCGCUUCCCCGAAUCCGUUCCCGUUCAGUGAAAUUAGUUGCUCCUGAACACAACAGUAACUGCCUUAAUUUCAACUAGUUAUGAUUUUUCUGGCUGUGGUUGAAUCCAUACUCAUCUAAUGAUUCAUCUGUUGCCAGUAUAUUCAUUUCUCAACCAAUUCUUCUUGAUAGAAGUGCAAAACAUUAUAGUUUUCUUCAAGAAGCUUUUCAUCUUGUCCACAGCUUAGUGUUUAUUACAGUUACAUGGAUUUCGUCAAGAUUAUUUCUCAAAUUUUACGGCUCUCUGAUUGUAAGUUUAAAAUGACUUCUUAUUUUUUCAGAAGAGCAUCAUCACGGAUUACUAGAAUUUACAAUCAUUACUAUGGUUUUCCUCAAGAUUAAUGCUCCAUUUUUACCACUUCCUGACUGUAAAUCGAGGGCCAUUUCCCUCCUGUUUUCGGAAGAACACAGUAUUUUGUAGAAAAUUAUUAUGAACAUCGUGGGCUGGUGAUUGCUGAUCCUCGAGGCAAAGAGUUUCAGCAAACCUACUGAUACAUUGUAGCCUACUCACACUACGGAGACAACAAAGAAAGAAAUUCGACAGUUAGACGCAUUUUUUCAAUUAGUGAUCACUAAGGUGUUAAAUCUUCAAGGUAGCAGAUUUUCAAAAUAUAAAAUCUGUCACCAUGUGCACCUCCCUCUAGUUAUAUCCCAUGUUGCUGUUUUUCGUUGGCCAGCAAGGAUGCUCUCAUGCAAGUGAGUUGGAGGUAAGAUUGUCAAGAUUCUGUUGAAUGUUUUGUUGACAGAGAGGGCAGUCUUGCUGGUUGCAUGCGAACACACACACAAGAGAACCCACCUGUCACGGGGUAAUUUUUCGCUCUCAAAUAAACUUGUGUGGCAGUCUAGUCCCUCACUAGACUCAACCUUCCCUCACCAAUCCCACUCGUGUUUGCCUAGUAACUAAGCAAACGGAAUACUCAAGUAGAAUAAGAUAAUCAAAAUGCACAACAAGCUCUACGGGAACUCUUUCCCAACCUUUAUUAAUCUCGUACACAAAGGAAACUAUAUACAAAUUCGUAUAUGUGCUAUGCACAAAGAUUGCAUGCUACACCAAGCUAUCUUUAGCUCGUACUCUACAUGUUCUUACAUGCCCCUACAUGCUGAACAUGCCCCACGCAUGCCUCCUAUCAACUAAGAGUAGCAAAAAGUAUUUAUAGACAAGCAUUUACAAGGCACAACUCCCAUUUCUACUUUUAAGGAAGUAGUGGGACACUAUCUCACCUAUGUUCACCUAUGAACAUAAUGGCCCCAUUCAGUGGCGGAGCCAAGAUUUUUUAAAUGAGGAGGCAAAUUACUAACAAAUAUUUAAUAUUAUAUAUUAUACAUACAUGUGUUAUAUAUAGAAAUUAAUUUAAUAUAUAUAUAAGCUAAAGUUAAGUUAAAUUAAUUUAAAAAUAUUUUUAAACUGAAAAAACUUACAUUAUAAUUAUUAUUUUCAAGAUUUUAUAUUUUAAAAUUGUUUCAUAAUAAUUUUAUUUUUAAUCUCAUUAAAAAUAUCUUUCUCAAUAUAUAGAACAAAUUUUCAUUUAUUUAUUUUUAAAUUUUUCAAGGAUUAGGAAAGUUCUUGACAACAAUUCUAUGCUGACAUAUGGUACAUAACAUUUAAAAUCAUAGCUUGUUGUCAAGAACAAUUUUUCAAGGAUUAAAAAGGAUUGUUUAAAAUUAAUGUUGUUCUUCCUGACUUGUUGUUUUGUAUAAGUAGAUUAAACAUAAAGAUUAAAUGUUUUUUUUUAAUUUAUUUAUUAUGUCCUUAAUUUUUUUUAGUUGCCCUGUACUUCAUUUUUAAUCAUUAGUAAAUUUAUUAUCAUUAUUUUUCAUAUAAAAUUCAUAACAAAAUACUUAUCAAUUCAUCAAAACUCAUUUUAAUUUAUACCUAUUAGCAUAUAAUAUUACCCAUACACGUAUUAAUUCAACAAACUCAUAAAUUAUUAUAAACCCUAACAUUUUUAAUAACUAAUUAUAAAGAAAUAAAACUAAGAUUAUAUAAUAAAACAAAUAGAAAAGUAACACAACUUUAUAUUAAUUUUGAUCACCUCCUUUUGUAUUAUAUUAUGUUUGAUUUAGCUGUUAAAUCUUUAUAAUUUAUUUAAUUUGGAUAUUGAUUUAUGUACUAUUAAUUUAUAUGAAUCACUUAAAAAUAUAAUACAGCUUUAUAUCAUGAAAUACUUGAAGUGAGAACGUGAGUGGCAAUUGAUGUUAAUUGGGAGGGGGAGGGGGCAAUUGCCCCCUCUUGCCCCAUUGUGGCUCCGCCACUGGCCCCAUUAUCUUUCAAGUAGUGGGUAGUUUUCCCCCAUGAUCUUAAUGGGUUGAGAGCAACCCCUGGUUAACCCCCAUCAUCCCAUGAUCUUGGAUAUCCAUAACUGCCACUAACUCACAUUCUGCAUGCCCACCUGGCAGCCCCAAUUGCUAGUUCUUGCUGUGUCAUUUGUUGAGUUUCUCACAUGCCUUGGACAGUCUUUCGUCCAAGUUUAAGAUCGUGCCAAGUCAAACCAACGACUUGCACAGGCUGUUGCGCGCUGCCGAAUUCGCAUUUGAGUGCAAGUUGUCAAUUUCUGCGCUGCCGAACUCGCAUCUGAGUGCAGGAUGCCACUGUCUAUGCUGUCGAAUUCCAUGAGAGCCCUAGUUCUAGCCAGCCUAUCUCCUUGACGAGUUUUCUUGCUUGGCCUAGACAUUCCAACAUCCAGUCCAUGUUCGUCAACAAUCUGCGCUACCCAAUUUUCCUUUGAUGAACCUACAACUGCACAAAUCUGCGCUGUCGAUUUAUCCCACUGUUAGCAUGGCUGCCAGCACCCUUAGACAUUGUUUUGGACAGCCUGCUGAAGUGUGCACCUCGUGCACAUUUAACAUUGUUACACUACCUCUUUUUAUUUUUUAAUGCUCGAGCCUGCGGUCCCAUUUUAAUUCUUUGCCAGGAUUAACGAAACUACAGAAAAAUUAAUAAAAAAAACUUUAAUAUAUUCUGAAAAGUCUUUGAAUUCAAUAAUAUAAUAAAAAAAAAUUAACACAUCAACUACUUAUAUAAAGGUAAAAAUAAACCUAACAAAAAAAAAAAAAAGCUAAGUAGAAAAAAAUAAUUGACAUAUGAAAUUAACUAGAAAAAAAUUAAAAUAAUAUCUUCUAGGUUUAAUUUGAAGAAUUUCUCAUUCUUGGUUGAUUACAUCUUGCUUCAAAUUCAUCAAAUUCUGGUUAUGGAUUGAUCUUCAAUGAGUCAGGCUACAUGUACAUAUUGAGAAGAAAUGGGCUGAUAGAGGAUCUCACAAAAACAGCAAUUCCUAGUGCGCGCAGACUUCUAUCAUAGGGCAACACUCAAUUUUGAUGGCGUUUUCACUCAAUAUUUUUACCCAAAAGCAUCUAGCGGUAACAGAAGCUGGUCCUCAGUCUGGUCCAAACCAGAUAAUAUAUGUGUCAAUAUGGGAGCGGGCUUGGGGCUUGGAGCUUGGAUAUAACAGCAUCUGCAAUCUAAAAGCUGAUAAAAGGCCAGAAUGUAAUUGUCCACAAGGUUUUUCUUUGCUUGAAUGACAGGUAUGGAAGCUGCAUACCAGAUUUCGAGCUAAGCUGCAGAGAUGAUGGACUCAAUUCCACCGAAGAUCAGUAUGAUUUUGUGGAGCUAAUAAAUGUUGAUUGGCCAACAUCUGAUUAUGAGAUGUACAAACCUAUUAACGAAGAUGAGUGCCGAAAGUCUUGCUUGGAUGAUUGUCUAUGUUCUGUUGCCGUUUAUAGAGAUGGCUGCUGGAAGAAGAAGUUACCACUCUCGAAUGGAAGAUUUAACAUUGGUAUGAAUGGGAAGGCUUUCCUUAAAUUUCCGAAAGGUUAUGUUCCUCCGGAUAGGCCUCCUCCUCAGCUUCCUGGAGAGAAAAAGAAACCAGACAUUAAGUUCAUCGCUGGAUCAGUAGUCCUUGGUACCUCUGUAUUUGUCAACUUUGUAUUGGUCGGUGCUUUCUGUCUCACUUCUUCCUUCAUUUAUCGCAAGAAAACUGAAAAAGUUCAGGAAGGUGGAAGUGGUUUGGAGACAAACUUGCGGUAUUUUACAUACAAAGAGCUCGCUGAAGCGACAAAUGACUUCAAAGAUGCGGUGGGAAGAGGAGGUUUUGGUGUUGUUUACAAGAGGACAAUAUAGGCAGGCUCUAAUAGAUAAAGUGGUUCAGGAUGGGGAAAAAGAAUUCAAAACAGAAGUACAAGUGAUUGGCCAGGCAGGCAGAAUCGAUUGUUGGUGUACGAGUUCUUGAGUAAUGGCACUCUAGCAAACUUCCUUUUCGGAUGCUCUAAGCCCAAUUGGAAGCAAAGGAUCCAGAUUGCCUUUGGCAUUGCAAGAGGACUCUUGUACCUGCAUGAAGAAUGUGGCACCCAAAUCAUUCACUGUGAUAUAAAGCCUCAGAACAUACUUCUUGACAAUUAUUACAAUGCUCGAAUAUCUGAUUUUGGACUGGCAAAGCUUUUGGUGUUGGAUCAAAGCAAAACUCAAACUGCUAUUAGAGGAACAAAAGGAUAUGUUGCACCUAGUUGAGAAUAAUUAGGAGGCUUAACCUAAUAGGUUAGCCAACCCUUUCUAUAUAUAUGAGUAGGGCAAUAUACAAUAGUAAAGGUGGAGAUUACCACAUAAGAAUAUGACUACAAUAUUUCCUAUAUAAUUACAUUCUAUAAUACGCCCCCUCAAGCUGAGGGUGGAGGAUCAACCCGAAGCUUGAAUCUCAAAGCAGUAAAUGAAGCAGUAGGAAGUGGCUUCGUGAAGGCAUCGGCAAGUUGAUCCUGAGAGGAAAUAAAACGAAUCUGAAUCUCCUUCUUCGCAACUCUAUCUUGGACAAAAUGAUAAUCAAUCUCAAUAUGUUUUUUGCGAGCAUGAAAUAUAGGGUUUGCGGACAAAUACGUGGCACCAAUGUUGUCACACCAGAUAAUAGGGGCAGAAGGAGUCGGAAUCUGAAGAUCCGUUAACAAGUACUGAAGCCAGAUAACUUCAGUCGUGCCAUCGGCUAAGGCUUUGUACUCAGCUUCCGUCGAAGAACGAGCAAUAGUGCGUUGCUUACUCGAUUUCCACGAAAUUGGCGUCUGACCAAAGAACACAAGAUAACCACCUGUAGACUUUCUAUCCUCAAUACUACCUGCCCAAUCUGCAUCUGUAAAACCGUGUAAAGCAAAGGAAGAGCUGUGAGUAAUAUCUAAACCAUGUGAUGCCGUACCACAGAGAUAACGCAAGAUGUGUUUCACGGCAGCCCAAUGGGAUUCUGUAGGAGCAUGCAUAAAUUGACAGACCCGGUUAACAGCAAAGCAAAUAUCCGGGCGUGUGAAAGUGAGAUAUUGGAGAGCCAAAACGAGUAGCAUCAGAAAACAAUGGAUCCGGCAUAAUGGUGGCUUUGGAUGCCGAAAUAGGAGUAUCAACUGGUUUACAGGAUAACAUACCAGCUCGUGUGAGGAUAUCAAGUGUAUAUUUAUGUUGACAAAGCAUAAGUCCCAGACCAGUACACUGCACUUCAAUACCCAAGAAAUAAUGAACAUCACCCAAAUCCCGAAGUUUAAAUUCUGAGCUCAGUAGCUGAAUGAGUCGUUGUAGCAGAGUUCCAUUAUUACCCGUAAGCAGAAUAUCAUCAACAUAAACCAAAAGAUAACAAAUAUCACUACCAACCGAGAAGAUAAACAAUGAGGUAUCCACUUUAGAAGCACGGAAACCAAUGGAUAAUAGAAAAUCAUUCAGACGAGUGUACCAAGCCCGCGGAGCCUGUUUUAACCCAUAUAGAGAUUUAUGCAAUCGACAUACAUGACCUGGGAGUGCAGAAUCAACAAAACCUGGAGGUUGUUUCAUGUAAACCUCUUCAUCAAGGACUCCAUUUAGAAAUGCAUUAUGAAUGUCAAGCUGAUGAAUUUUCCAACCACUCGAAACUGCAAUGGAGAACACUAAGCGGACUGUUGCCUGUUUGAUAACAGGACUAAAAGUUUCUGAGUAAUCAAUACCUUCUUGCUGAGUGAAGCCCCUAGCAACCAGGCGGCCUUAUACCUCUCAAUGCUACCAUCAGAUCUGCGUUUAAUUUUGUAGACCCAUCGGCUACCAACAACAUUCAUGGACGGAUGAAACGCACUAAAGUCCAUGUUCUGUUUGCGCGUAAGGCCUGAAUUUCCUCUCGCAUAGCAUUAUGCCACGCCUCAUAUCUGUUAGCAUCAGGAAAAAUAAGUGGCUCAUGCGAGGGAGGAGAAGUUACCCGACUGAAGGAAGCAGCAGAGGUGGUUGCCGUGGUGAUGAUCAGCGUUGUCUUGGGUUGUCUCGGACGAAGAACCAUGGGGUGUUUAGGAGCAGCUGGACAUGGAGUAGCAGCACCUGUACCUGGAAUGUGCUGAAGAGGAUAAGAGGAGAGAUCAACACAAAGUUGCAGACCAGGAGGUGAAGCCGGGGAGGUGUGGGUUGUGCCGCUACUGAAUCCUGCAAGUCAGAACCUGUUCCUGCACAAUAAUCAUUGGAAAGACAAGCACGUGGUGAUAGUAUGGUUGUGUGGGGUGGUGAGGCAGGGUCGGCUGAAUCAACGGGCAGGGGAGCAAGCUGGGGGGUUGCGGCAAGGGGCAAAGGUGGGUUGUGUUUUUGCCGAGUUGGGAAGGAAGAGGCUGAAAACAGGAAGGGGUUGCAGUGAUGGAAGAUAGGUAGGUGGAGUGGGGGAAGGGGGUGUUGUUACCUGUUCAGACUUUUUAAAAGGAAAGACACAUUCAUGAAAACGAACAUGACGGGAGACAUAGACACGACCAGACUCUAAAUCAAGACACCGAUAACCAAGAUGAGACGAGCUAUAGCCUAAAAACACACAAGGAGAAGACCGAAAAUCUAAUUUAUGAGCAUGAUAUGGACGUAAAAAUGGAAAACAAAGACACCCAAAAGUGCGUAGAAGUUAUAAUCAGGAGUGCGAUGAAACAGACACGCAAAAGGAGAUUUAUUUUGAAGAACAUGAGUAGGCAUGCGAUUAAUAAGAUACCGAUGAUUCCAUAGCAUAGUUCCAAAAACGCAAUGGGGCAUUACACUGGCCUAAAGGGUUAGGCCAGUUUCGACAAUAUGUCUAUGACGACGUUCAACUGUGCCAUUUUGUUCAUGAGUAUGAGGACAAAUUAAUCGAUGAUGAAUACCAAUUGUUUGAAAAAAUGUAUUUAAUUUGAUAUUCACCACCCCAAUCAGUUUGAACAGAUUUAAUUUUAAGAGAAAACUGACGCUCAACAAGUGUCUGAAAACGUUGAAACGUGGAAAAUACAUCAGAUUUCGCAACAAGCGGAUAAUACCAGAUAUAUUUAGUGUGCGCAUCAACAAAGAUAACAAAAUAACGAAAACCAUCAGAAGAAAACAUUGGAGCAGGGCCCCAAACAUCACUAAAAAUUAAUUCAAGUGGGGUAGAAGUUUUGUGACCCGUCGGUCGUAAUGACAAACGGGAUGACUUGCCUAAUGGACAUGCUUGACAUUGAGUAAAAGAUCGUUUAGACGUACAAAUAAUUUUAUUAUCAGAAACUAACAAAUUUAGAAUGCGAGGAGUUGGAUGACCUAAACGACGAUGCCACAAGUCGGCAGUCGCGGAAAUGCAAGGAGACCAAAAAGCUUGAGGAACUGACGUAGCCGAGGACUCGGAGAGAACAUAAAGACCAUCAUGACUCCGACCGGAAAGAAGAACUUCCUUGGUGACGAGAUCCUUCACAUAAAACACAGAAUCGUGAAAUUCAAAAUAAACAUGAUUAUCACGACAGAAUUUCUGAACAGAUAACAACGGUUUGGUAAUGUGAGGCACACGAAGAACAUUAGUUAAUGUAAACAAGCGUUUGGGGGAAUAUAAAGUAGUAUGUCCAACAUGGGAUAUGUCAAGGGCCUUACCAUCACCAACAUGCAAGAAAUCAUUACCAAGAUAAGGAGCAGAAUCAGUUAGAGUUGCAAGAUCAGGCGUCACAUGUUGAUUCGCGCCGGUGUCGGGAAACCAAGUCGUUGCAGCAGAAUCAUUCGCAACAGCAAGGUGAGCAGAGGGCUGCUGUGUGCUGCUGCGAAACUGAUAGCAUUGAAGAGCUGAAUGGCCAGGAGUGGAACAUAAUUGGCAGCGGACAUGUCCAGACCACUGCCCCUGAUUUGGCCGAAAUCUGCAGCAGAGGUGCGCCUGUUCUGCCACUGAUUUUGCCUCCAAUCUGCAGCGGAGUGACCUCUGUUUGGGGCCUGAAAUCGGUUGGUGUUUGAGCGCCAAUUACCUCUAGAACGUCCCCUGUUUCGGCUGUGAUUAGUCAUGGCAUAAUAAGCAGAAUUCGGAGGUGUUGGCAGCAAUGGUGGCUGCUGCGGCAGAGAAGAAGAAGACAGCAGUGAUGAAGAGGAUGAACCGACAGCCAUGGAGUGAAAGGAAUUCUUGUGCAGAAACUCAUGGGUAAGGAGAUGGCUAUGAAGAUCAGCAUACGAUAGCGGUUCAGCCUUGGUUAUGAGACUAGUUACCAAGUCUUUGAACUCACCGCGAAGUCCACGAAACACAUAGAGAUUGAAAUCUUCAAGGGACAUUGGGCGACCAGCAGCAGCCAAUUCGUCAAAUAACGAUUUGGCUUGCUGCAUAUACAUACUAACCGAUGCAUCACCUUGCCGAAGGUCUUGAAAGGAGCCAUGUAGUUGCAUGAUCCGGGAAUUAGAUGGAGAGGCAAGUGCCUUCUCAAGCGUGCGCCAAACACAAUGUGAAGUAGAACAAUCUACAAGAUGCAGCACAUCCACGGAAAGAGAGGAGAGUAGAGCACUCAAAAUAAGUUGAUCUUGUUGCUUCCAACGAAGAAAAGAGGGGCUGAUGGCAGAAGAAGAAUCAGCCGAAGCAUCAAUCAUAUGAGAUGGAGGACACGGCAAGGAGCCGUCAACAAAGUGAAAAACACCUUGACCAAGGAGAUAUGGCUUCAUCUGCAUUCUCCAAUAAAGAUAAUUUGUGUUCGUAAGUUUCAACGACACAACAUGGUGGGUGUUUGAUAGAGGAACCAUUGUUGUAGAUUGUGUUCCCAUGAGAGGCAAAGGAACGGCAGAGCCAGCAGCAGAAAGGGGGCUGGCCGGUGAUGAUGCAGCACCGGUGGAGGGAGAGAUUGGAUCAACGGCAGCAGGAGGAGAGUCCAUGGGGGAGAAAAUUAGGGCCGACUGCAAAGAGAGAAAAAAUUAGGAGGCUCUGAUACCAAGUUGAGAAUAAUUAGGAGGCUUAACCUAAUAGGUUAGCCAACCCUUUCUAUAUAUAUGAGUAGGGCAAUAUACAAUAGUAAAGGUGGAGAUUACCACAUAAGAAUAUGACUACAAUAUUUCCUAUAUAAUUACAUUCUAUAAUACACCUGAAUGGUUCAGGAACAGACCAAUCACUGUGAAGGUUGAUGUGUAUAGCUUCGGUGUCAUGCUGAUAGAGAUCAUCUGUUGUAGAAGAAAUGUAGAUUUGGAGUCGGUGAAGCAGAGAAUCCAGUACUGAUUGAUUAGGCUUAUGACUGCUACAUGAAUGGAAGUUUGGAUGUUUUAAUUGGAGAUGACAUGGAGGCCAAGAAUGACAUAUCGACACUAGAGCGUCUCUUGAAGGUCGGGAUUUGGUGUAUUCAAGAGGAUCCAUCUCUCAGACCCACCAUGAGGAAAGUCACACAGAUGCUUGAAGGAGUUGUUGAAGUUCCUGCUGCUCCAAAUCCAUUUCCAUAUAGUACAAUUAGCAAUUACAGUCAGGAAUGAUCUUUAUUUCACCUAGAUAUGAUUUUUCUACAGUUUCUUCUACCAUGAAAUGUAGCUUUAUAAGAGAAAAGAGGAAAAGAUAAGGAAAAUAUAAGAGAAUUGGAUGAAAUAAGUUUAAAGGUAAGAUUAUGUAUAAAUAUGUGUUAUUUAAGCUUUAAAUUUCUGUUUUGGUUAAAUGUUAGGGUUUUGAAGAUUGUGUUUUAAGUUUAUUGAAGAAUUAAUUUGAAUGUUAUUAAUUUAAUUGUUGUGGGUAAUGGAUUGGUAGUUGAUUUUGAGAGAUUGUAGGUAAAUAUGAUAAUUUUGAGUUAUGAUUUUAUUUAAAUGGUGAAUUUGUGUUAGAAAUCAUGAGAUAACAGUAGGUAAUCUGUGGAAAUUCUAGGUUUGAGGUUGAAGAUGAAAAAAUUUUGGUUUGGUCCCUCAAUUUGUGAAAAUUACAGUUUAGUCCCCAAACUUUGGAAAUUUUCAAAUCGGUCCUUGGAGCAUAUUCCGAGAUUCUGAACAGAAUAAAAUAUGAAUUUGGACAGAAUUCCAGUAGAGUUAUGAAUUUUAAACACUUUCAAUUUGGUCCUCCAAUUUGACAAAAAUUACCAUUUGACCCUAAAAAUUUGGUUAAAUUCCAGAAUGGUCCAUAGAGUAUAAUGAGAUAUUCUGGACAUAAUUGAGGAUUAAUUAUGGUCAGAAUUUCAGUAUAGUCAUGGAUUUAUGACAAAUUUAGUUUGGUCCUCCAUUUGAUAAAAAUUAUAAUUUAGCCUUAAAAAUGUGAUAAAUCCCAUAUUGGUCCCUAACUGUAUUAUUAGCCUUUUCAGAUUGGUUUGAUGAAUAAACGAGGGCUAUUUAGUGAAUUAUUAUCAAGUCUUAUUAUUUGUUUUAUUAUGGAUUAGAUUUCGGGAAAACCGUUAAUUUUUGGGUUUUUAGGAAAAUAUCUAAUUUAGUCUAAAAACAUAUAGAGUUAUGGAAUAUACCCUUAGAUAAGUGUAUUAAAUAGGUUGUAUUUUCUUUUGAGUCAUUCUUGAAUAUGUCUUCUUUGUAUUUAGAUAAUCCUGAUAUUCUUCCAGCGGAACGUCUAGGAUUUCCUUUGGUAUUGAGUUAUGUUUGUUUUCGAGUCAGGUGAGUGAAUAAUUUUUCAUAUGCAUGAGAAAUAUUAUAAAUAUUUGAUUUGUUAAUAUGAAUUGGAUCAUGCUUCUUGAUAAUAUAUAUGUUGAUUAUUAUCCUUGUAAUGAUAAAGCAUGAUCAAUUAUUGAAUCUGAAUUCUUGAUAUGAACCAGUAUAUAUUUUAAAUUGACUUUUUAAUUGAUAGCUCCACAUUUGAUUGAUGUUAUGAGUUGAGCCUUGAGAUAUGAAUAUGUCUGUUUGAUUAUGAUUAUGAACCUAUGGUAUGUCAGUCAGAAUACCUAUGCUGACAGGGUAAUGUUAAUCUUUGUGCACAUCGUAUAUGAACCCUAGUUGGUCGGGAGAGUCACCAACUUGUGUGAACUGAUCAUCCGAUAAUACGGAGCCUUAUGCUCAUUUUAUUUUGAUUUUCUGACGAGCUUUACCUUAUGAUAUUCUUGUUAUGGUCUAUUUGAUAAACCUUUCUAUAAGAACCUAGAGCCAUACUUGUGUGUGUGUGUGUGUGUGUGUGUGUAUUUCUCAUUGUUGUAGUACCUCGUGUGUGUAUAUGUAACGUUAUUUACUCACUGAGUUGUUGAAAUCACCUUCUUAUUAUUUAUCUUUUUCAGGUUUGAUAAACCUUUCUAUAAGAACCUGCUAUUUUGGUUGUAAUUUGUACAUUUUCCAUUUAUGUCUAGUUAGUGCUCCAAAGCUAUGAAAUUAUAUUAACUCUUGUAUUAAGACAAUGAAAUUACAUUAUGAAGUUAUUUUGUUGUUAAUGCUGCGUUGAACUCUGAUUGAAUUGUUUAAGGGAUAAGAUUGUAUGUAAGUUUGGGUUCACAUAAGUAUAGAACCUUGAAGGGGAACCUUGCCUAUAUACCGGUCAUGGAUCCAGGAAACUGAUUGUGACACAAGUCUUGGUCAAGAGAUGUUUGGCUUCUUUGGGGGCAUUUUUUGUUUCCAGGAAACGGUUAGUGAUAGACAUGUAAGAACCUGUACUUCUUGCCAUACGAAGUUGGACAAAGCUUUUUACAGUAAAAAGUGAAACAUCAAACACCAUUCCAUUACAUAAUGGUUGUUUCCGUUAUCCCUUUGCAUAAUUAAGAAAGUAACAACAAGCAACUUGGUCCCUUGAAUUUCAUGUUGAAUGGUUAGUAUACGGUUGUAAGUGAAGCAUGUUGUAGCUAUAGAUAUUCUCAUGAAUCUAUUGGAUGGGGGGUUCUAUCAGGAUAGGAACAAUUGAUAAAUAUACAAUGCACUAUACUUUGUAGAAUCCAUCAUCAUUCUUCUAUACCAGCAUUUGUCUUAAUAGAAAAUGGAUCUAGAACUCCAUGACUCAGACGCCCACUGUAAGACCCAAACUUUUGGCCCAAACCUAAGCCCAAGUCAACCCAAACCCAACCUAAGUUAACCUAGGUAUUUAAGGAAGAGUUGCAAGAGAAUUACUUUUCUCUCUUCCAAUUCUUGUAGCCACCGUGACCCUCCCCUCCUCAAACCAAAGAGUUUAGUUUUUGAUUCAAGAAAGGUGGAAGUAGCAAGUAAGUGGUUCCCUUUCAUAUUACUUUUGAUUAUAGUUUGCUUAUGGAAUGAUUAAAGAAGAGAUUAGGGUUUAUAAGGAUUGAAAGUUUAUGUUGUUAAGAUUGAUUUAUGAUUAUAAAGGGUUUAAUGUUAGGUGAUUGAUUAUUAUGUUGUUAGAAAUAAGGAUUUGUGAAUUGAUUUGUUUAAAUUGAUUUUUAUGGGUUAAGAAAUUCAUUUUAACCUUGCUGGAAAAUCCGGACAGAAUAGCUUUGAUGUUGAAGAUGACCAAAUUUUAUUUUGGUCCUUGAUUUAUGAAAAAUUCAGUUUAGUCCCUAAACUUUAGAAAAAUUAUGAUUUGACCCCUAAAUGUAUUUUUAGAUUCUGUACAAUGUUAUUAUGACGUUAAGGAUGAUGAAUCUCAGUUUGAUAAUUCAUUUGGAAUAUUUUUAGUUUGGUCCCUCAAUUUUAGGAAUUUACAUUUUAGUCCCUGAACUUUAUGAAAAUGACAAUUCGGUCCCUGUUUCGUUCUAUACAUAAUUUAGGAUGGUUUAUGGGUGCAAAUUUAGUAUGGUUAUGUAUUUACAGUUUGGUCCUCCAAUUUUGGUAAAAUUACGUUUUGGUCCCUGUUUUGGAAAAUUGUCAUUUUAGUCCAUAAACUUAGGAGACUAAACCUGGUUUUAUUUUAUGCAUUGGGAUCUUUUGUUUGAUUUGUUUUUUAGUAUAUUUCAUAUAUUGUUGUAGGUUCUCCUAACGAUCCUCAAUAGGAUUUUCGGGUUUUUUAUUUGACAUUCCUUUUAGUUCUAUAUUUUCCAGGUGAGUGGGAUAAUAUUUAAUAUGCAUAUAAUAUAAAUAAAUAUGUAUGUAGAUUAUACGAUGAGUACAACUAGUUAAUUUCUUGAAUAUUUAUAAAUAUUGCUUUAUUUUCCGAGUACUCAUUUAUUCUUGAAUUUGCACUCGUAAUAUGUCGAACUAAAUUCUAUUUGAUAUGAUAUACGUUUCUUUGAUGAUUCUGUAAAUAUCUAUUAUGGCUUGAUAUAGGACUUGUCAGUAACUCCAUGUUAACGGAGAGUAGUUAGCCUAUGUGCACAUAGUAUUCUGUAUACCUAGCUGGUGAGAGAGGCAUCAGCCUAUGGCGACUGAUCAUCCCACAGUGGUCACCUUCGGGUGUCAUCUGGUCACCUUCGGGUGUCAUCUGAUCUCUGACAUGUAUUCCACUACUUUAUGAUAAUAUGUUUAGUAUGUAUAUGUAUAUGUAUAUCAAGAUAAAUAAUCUUGCAAACUAUUAAUAUCUAAAAUAUCUAAAAUGUAUAUUAAAUGUUAUUCCCUCACUGAGUUAAUUGAACUCACCCCUCAUUCUUAAUAUUAUUUCAGGUUCUUAGUUUCUGAUAGCAUUUGGACUUUGUUAAGUGUUUCCACUUCUUCAAUUUUUGUUCGGUAUGCCUUGCUUGUUUUGCGAGGCUUUCCUUUUAGUUUUGAUUCAAUGUCUUAGACGCUCCACUAUUACCUUGUUUUAAUUAAGUUUGGAUUUUGACAAUGUAAUGAGUAUUAUGGAUUAUUGUUUUUGUUUUAAUUACUAAUAAGGAGUUUUAAACUAUCUUUUGGUUUUAUCAGUUUUGAAUAAUAUAAUAUUUCUGAAGAUUAUAAAAUGCUGUGUAUUUUUGAAUAAAUUGUUCUUCUGAUAUAUCUGUUCUGAGGCUUAGCGUAGGUAAGGUGUCCUUUCGACACCGCUCCUAUGUUGCCGGUUAUGGACCCGGAAUUCGGGUCGUGACACCCACUUUGUAGGGACCACAAGGAUUCCAUUUAUGUAUGGUUGAAAGUCUUGCCAUGGUAUGCCAUAAGUAUUGUCGAAGCCUGUAAUGCUGAAUUGAUCAGAUCGGGAAAAUACCAUUGUCCAGAAAAGGGCCAGGAAAACUUGUGUUUGGCUUCAGGCUCCAUCCUUCUCUCUCCCAUUGGUUAUUUAACGACGGAGUUUUCACCAAAAGUCUUGGUCAAGAGAUGCUUUGUUUGUUUUGGGGCUUUCUUCUCCAGGAAAUGCUUAGUGAUUGACCUGUAAAAACCUGUGCUCUCUUCCAUGCGAAGUUGGAUAAAGCUUUUUACAUUAGCUAUAGAUAUUUGAUGUAGAGGGGGAAAUGUAGGACUAGAUAUUCUCAUGAAUCUAUUGGAUGGGCGGUUCUAUCAGGAUAGGCACAGCUGAUAGCUACGUAAUGCACUAUAAACUGUAAAACCCAUCAUCAUCACUUGUAUCAAUUAUUUGGCACUAAAAUGUUAAGUUUUCACUGUCACAGGCAUUAGAAAUUUUAGUCUUCUCAUUUUCUAUCAUAUCCAACGUAAAAUCAUUUUCCAAUUCAGAAAUGACGAUGCAUAAGUUGUAAUUAAUUUUCAUUUCUCUCCUUCGUUGUCACUCCAUAUGACUAAUGAUAUUUUCACAAAAUGAACCUCAACCUGGGUUAAAUUCCGGGAAAGAUUUUCCAAGACGGUACAUAGUUGGUAUAUCUGGUAACCAUUUGAUAAAAAUCUUCUAUAUCAGCAUUUGUCUUGAUUCAAAAUAGACAGAGAAAUCCGCGACUCAGAGCCAACUCUUGAGAGACUAUAAGGAUUAUAACCAAGUAUAUUGACAGGUAACUUCUACCAUUUAUGUAGGGUUGAAAGUCUUGCUAUGGUAUACCAUGAGCAUACUCUAGUCUGUAAUUCAUGAAAAUUCAGAGAAAAUACCAUUGCCAAGAAAAGGCCCAAGAAAACUUGUGUUUGGCUUCAGGCUCCACCCUUCUCUUUCCCAUAGGUUAUUUAAUGACCGUGCCUUGAACUUCGUUUGCCUCAUAGUUUGGAGUCAUCAUGUCUUGCAAUGGCCUUUCCUAUUCUUCAUCUUUCGUUUUCCUUGCUCAUUAUGCUACCUCCUUUUGCUGUUUCUCAAACUGGUGGUAAUAUAACUGUGGGUGCUUCUCUUUCCACUGCUGAAAACACCUCAUGGCUUUCACCUUCCGGUGACUUUGUCUUUGGCUUUUAUCAACUGUAUGGCAACAAAGAUCUCUUCUUGCUUGCCAUAUGGUACGAUAAAAUACCAGACAAAACCAUAGUCUGGUAUGCAAAUGGAGAUAAACCUGCACCAACAGGGUCCAAGGCAGUGCUGACUGCCAAUCGCGGGAUUUCACUUACUGACCCUCAAGGCAGAGACUUGUGGAGAUCCGAGACAAUAAUUGGUGUUGUUGCCUACGGUGCCAUGACUGACACAGGCAACUUCGUGCUUCGAGAUCGUGUUUCUGAUAAGCUGUGGGAGUGUUUCAAGAAUCCUGCUGACACUUUACUGCCUUCACAGGUCUUGGACAGGGGGAUGACCCUUUCUUCUCGCCAAUCAGAAACAAACUUUUCUAAGGGAAGGUUCCAGCUUAAACUUAGAGAUGACGGGAAUCUUGUGCUAGCAACAAUAAACCUGCCUAGUGAUUAUACUAAUGAACCUUAUUAUAAAAGUGGUACCGAUGGUGGGUCGAAUUCAUCGAGUCCUGGCUAUCAAGUGGUCUUUAAUGAGUCAGGAUACCUGUAUAUAUUGAGGAGAAUGGCCAAAUAUUCUCUCUAACACAGAGAGUAACCGCCUCCACUGGAGACUCCUAUCACAGAGCAACUCUCAACUUUGACGGAGUUUUCACUCGGUUAUCACCCAAAAGUCUACUGGCAAUGAAGGGUGGACACCAAUUUGGUCUCAACCAGAUAAUAUCUGCCAAGCAAGUUUGUUAGUUCUGGCAGUGGAACCUGUGGGUUCAACAGUCUGCAGGCUGAAUUCAAUCGAAGACCAAUCUGCGAAUGCCCUGGAGGAUACUCGUUACUCGAUCCAAGUGAUCAGUAUGGAAGUUGCAGACCAACUAUACCACAAAGCUGUGAAGAAGAUGAGGUGGCUCCUGUGGAAGAUUUGUACGAUUUUGAAGAACUUACAAAUACAGAUUGGCCAACAUCUGACUACGCUCUCUUGCAGCCUUUCACUGAAGAAAAGUGCAGACAGUCUUGCUUGAAUGAUUGUAUGUGUGCUGUCGCUAUUUUCAGAUCUGGUGACAUGUGUUGGAAGAAGAAGCUGCCACUCUCGAAUGGAAGAGUACAAACUAAUCUUGAUGGCAAAGCUCUUCUCAAAGUUAGGAGAAGUAAUGUCAAUCCACGAAGUCCUUAUUUCCCUAACAACAAAAAAGACAGAGACGGUUUGAUCCUGGUGGGAUCUGUGUUUUUGGGCUGCUCUGUGUUUGUGAACUUUUUGUUGGUUUGUGCAAUUUGUAUGGGUUUUUUUUUCAUCUACCGCAGGAGAACAAAGAGAAUUCCUCAGAAAGACGGUGCUGUAGAAACAAAUUUGCGGUGUUUUACUUACCAAGAGCUUGCAGAAGCAACAGAGGGGUUCAAGGAAGAGUUGGGAAGAGGAGCAUUUGGAUUUGUUUACAAAGGGGUGGUGCAUAUAGGGUCUAGCAUUGUUGUGGCUGUGAAGAAGCUAAAUAAUAUGGCAGAAGAUAGCGUGAGGGAAUUCAAGAGGGAGGUAAAUGUGAUCGGCCAGACCCAUCACAAGAAUCUGGUUCGGUUGCUGGGAUUCUGCGACGAAGGAGAUCAGCGGUUGUUGGUGUAUGAGUUCAUGAGCAAUGGAAGUCUAUCGAGUUUUAUUUUUCAAGAUGCAAAACCUGGUUGGAAGGAAAGAAUCCAAAUUGCCUUUGGAGUUGCAAGAGGACUUUUGUACUUGCAUGAAGAGUGCAGCAAUCAGAUUAUCCAUUGUGAUAUCAAGCCCCAGAAUAUACUUCUGGAUGAAUAUUACAAUGCAAGGAUAUCUGACUUUGGUUUGGCAAAGCUCUUGUUGCUGGAUCAGAGCCACACCCAUACAGCCAUCAGAGGGACAAAAGGGUAUGUUGCACCUGAA
rnacentral:lncRNA from 1 species